rnacentral:lncRNA from 1 species
GGACGUACCGUUGGCGAGCUCCUUCUCCUUGUUCUCGAGGGUGGGGGCGAAGUUGAGGGGGUUGAAGACGCUGCCGGGGUAGCCGCACUCGUGGGGCGGGAGGCUGUAGCUCUUGAAGAUGGGGUCCUGGUUGACGGAGCCCGGGUUCUUGAUGUCCUGCCACCGCCGGAUCUCGACGUAGUGGAAGAGGAUGAACUCGAUGACGAAGAGCGUGGAGGAGGAGGCGAAGUAGGUCUCCUUGCCGGCGUCGUACCACUCGGGCGCGUUCAGCAGCCCCGCCUUGGUCAGCACCUCCGGGAUCAGCAUCCCCGCCACCCCCAGCAUCGCCCACCGCCCGUUCACCAGCUCCGCCUGCACGAACCACCGCAGGUCCUCCGGGUCCUCCGCCAGCGCCAGCGGGUCAAAACCAUUGUCACCCGCCAGACUGCACACGUAUCGUCCGUCAGUACGGUCGUAAACAUAUGUAACAGCUGCGUGCAUGGGCACGACGGAAGUGGUGUGGCGUGUCGUGUGGUCUGCUCACCUGCCGUCGAGGUAGGCAGGGGACUGGAGGCCGGGGAGCCAGGACCCCUUGGCCUGGACGGCGACGUCGCGGCGGGUGGACUUGGCGAGCCCGACGCGGCCGGAGUCGCCCAGGAACCGGGGGCUCGACGCUGACGCCGCCGGCCGGAGAGCGGCCACGGGAGCGCGGGCACUGACCGACGACAUCUUCUGCUACUCCUGACUAGAGAGCGCGUACGGCAGGAGAGUGAGAGUGCGCGCGUGUGUGUGUGGUGGUUCUGCCUCUCCGCACCUGCGCUUGGCCCUUUGUAUUGGGCUGCGCUUCGGUGAUUUGUGGGUGUGGUGAGCUGGGCCCCGGAGGUCGAGAUGGACGGCGUGUGUUGGCGCCACCGCGUCGUCCGACGGCUGCGAUGCGUUUGCGCCUGGAGACUGGAUAGAUGGACCAGUGGGAGACCGGGAGGCGUAUGUGCGUUAUCUGGAUGAUGGAUAAUGCGGAAUCAAAAGGGGGAUCGCUAUUGGUCGGGGAAACGCACGUUCGGUUUACCUGGCUGCCACGUCGAUCGGACGAUCCGUCAUGAUGUACAGCUGUACAUGGUGCCAUGGCGGGUUGGUCUGUUUGCUUCAACUUUCGAGCUCUUCCACGGGAAACCGGCUUUCGCCCUAGAAAUGGCACGGAUGGUCGAACGGAUACAAGGUGAUGGAAAGAACCCCAUAGAAGGCGGUCGCGGCGAGCCGUCACGAUCCCGUAAUCGAACAAGAAAAUAAGAGUCGCCACACCUAACAUGAGGCGACCUAGACUAUUGAAUCGGAACUCAACCGUGCCGCCUAGGAAAAUCAUAGACCAUUAUGCAUAAAACACAUCAAGUUAUCGCCGGAGAAAGUAAGUGUCGAUCCAAUCCGUGGAGUUCCAAUCCUGCGAGCAGAUAGCGAGGACCAAUGACAUUGACUACGAGGACACGUGUAAAUGAUAGGGGAUCAACGGAUCCACUCCACGACGAAGCCGAAGGCACCGAUGUGCUGUAACUGGAUGAUAUUUGUGUUCCCCGACAAUGCCCCGAGGAGGGUAAUGAUGUAGAGCGUUGAUACGUCUCCAACGUAUUUAUGGUGUUUUUAUUGUGUCAUGCUAUUAUAUUAUCAAUUUCGGAUGCUUUAUAUGCUAUUUUAUAUCAUUUUUAAGAACUAACCUAUUAACCGAGUGUCCAGUGUCAGUUCCUAUUUUUUGCGUGUUUUGACUUCUCAGAAAAUCAAUAACAAACGAAGUUCAAACAUGAUGAAACUUUAUGAUGAUUCUUUCUGGACCAAAAAGGGACCCCUAGAAGGUUCGGGAGGAGGCCAGAAGACGUAGGGAGAGCCACAAGCUCACAGGGUGCGCCCCCCCCCCCCCGGGGGNNNNNNNNNNNNNNNNNNNNNNNNNNNNNNNNNNNNNNNNNNNNNNNNNNNNNNNNNNNNNNNNNNNNNNNNNNNNNNNNNNNNNNNNNNNNNNNNNNNNGACGUCUAACUUGUUUUUGCAGGGUAUGAUUGUGAUGUGAUAUGGCCAAUGAUGUGAUGUGAUAUAUUGGAUGUAUGAGAUGAUCAUGUUGUAAUAGAAAUAUCGACUUGCACGUCGAUGGUACGGCAACCGGCAGGAGCCAUAGGGUUGUCUUUAUACUAACGUUUGUGCUUGCAGAUGCGUUUACUAUUUUGCUAGGAUGUAGCUUUAGUAGUAAUAGCAUAAGUAGCACGACAACCCCGAUGUCAACAUGUUGAUGGAUGAUCAUGGUGUGGCGCCGGUGACAAGAAGAUCGUGCCGGUGCUUUGGUGAUGGAGAUCAAGNNNNNNNNNNCUUGCAGAUGCGUUUACUAUAUUGCUAGGACGUAGCUUUAGUAGUAAUAGCAUGCGUAGCACGACAACCCCGAUGGCGACACGUUGAUGGAGAUCAUGAUGAUGGAGAUCAUGGUGUGACGCCGGUGACAAGAAGAUCGUGCCGGUGCUUUGGUGAUGGAGAUCAAGAAGCACGUGAUGAUGGCCAUAUCAUGUCACUUAUGAAUUGCAUGUGAUGUUAAUCCUUUUUGCACCUUAUCUUUCUUAGAACGACGGUAGCAUUAUGAGGUGAUCUCUCACUAAAAUUUCAAGACGAAAUUGUGUUCUCCCCGACUGUGCACCGUUGCGACAGUUCUUCGUUUCGAGACACCAGGUGAUGAUCGGGUGUGAUAGACUCAACGUUCACAUACAACGGGUGCAANNNNNNNNNNUGAAAUUGUGUUCUCCCCGACUGUGCACCGUUGCUACAGUUCGUCAUUUCGAGACACCACGUGAUGAUCGGUGUGAUAGACUCAACGUUCACAUACGACGGGUGCAAAACAGUUGCGCACGCGGAACACUCGGGUUAAGCUUGACGAGCCUAGCAUGUGCAGACAUGGCCUCGGAACACAUGAGACCGAAAGGUCGAUCAUGAAUCAUAUAGAUGAUGUGAUUAGCAUAGGGAUGCUUACCACUGAAACUAUACUCAACUCACGUGAUGAUCGGACUUGAGAUAGUGUAGGUGGAUCAUGAACCACUCAAAUGACUAGAGAGAUGUAAUUUUUGAGUGGGAGUUUAGCAGAUAAUUUGAUUAAGUUGAACUCUAAUUAUCUUCAACAUAGUCUAAGUCCACUUUGAAUAUAUUUGUGUUGUAGAUCAUGGCUGACGCAAGUGUCAUCCUGAAUUUUAAUACGUUCCUAGAGAAAGCUAAGUUGAAAGAUGAUGGAAGCAACUUUGUAGACUGGGCUCGUAAUCUUAAGCUAAUCUUACAAGCUGGGAAGAAGGAUUAUGUCCUUGAUGCUGCGCUAGGAGAUGAACCACCCGCUACGGCUGAUCAGGAUGUUAAGAACGCUUGGUUAGCGCGUAAGGAGGACUACUCAAUAGUUCAAUGUGCAGUCUUGUAUGGCUUAGAACCGGGACUUCAACGUCGCUUUGAGCGUCAUGGAGCAUUUGAGAUGUUCCAGGUGUUGAAGUUUAUCUUUCAGAAGAACGCCUGGAUCGAGAGGUAUGAGACCUCCGAUAAAUUCUAUGCUUGCAAGAUGGAGGAAAACUCGUCUGUCAGUGAACAUGUGCUCAAAAUGUCUGGGUACUCAAACCGUCUAGCUGAGCAGGGGAUUGAACUCCCGCAAGAGGCUAUCACUGACAGAAUCCUUCAAUCACUGCCACCAAGCUACAAAGGCUUUGUGUUGAACUACAACAUGCAAGGGAUGAACAAGUCACCCGGCGAGUUGUUUGCGAUGUUGAAAGUCGCAGAGUCUGAACUCCGUAAAGAGCAUCAAGUGUUGAUGGUGAAUAAGACCACUAGUUUCAAGAGAAACGGCAAAGGCAAGAAGGGUAAUUCAAAGAAGAGACUUGCCGGUAAACGAGAUUGAAAUAGGUAUGCGGAUACUGACGAUCGAAUCUCGGGCAAGUAACAUACCGAAGGACAAAGGGAAUGACAUACGGGAUUAUANNNNNNNNNNNNNNNNNNNNNNNNNNNNNNNNNNNNNNNNNNNNNNNNNNNNNNNNNNNNNNNNNNNNNNNNNNNNNNNNNNNNNNNNNNNNNNNNNNNNUGUGUGUGUGUGUGUGUGCACACUUGUGAUAGUGCAAGUGAUGUGUGUAUGUGUUUAUGUGGCUUAGUUGAAAAGUGGCUCAUGUGAUCUUGCUAGUGUGUUUGGGUGUGUAGUACUUGCAAAGUAUGUGCAUUGUGGAAUAGGUGAGAUGUGUGUGUUGAGGUGAUGUGUGUGUAAGUAGUGCACACAUAUGUGGUACCUAGCAGGAGUGUAUGUAUGUGUGGAUCCAUGUUUACUUGCAUAGCAGUUGUUCCUUCAUGUUGUGCUUGAGAUUAAGUGCUUGUGAUGAGGGUAUUGUGAUGAUAUGUGUGUGGUGAUAACAGCCCCAUUUUCAACACUUGUGCACCUCCUCAUGUUCAUAUGAGAGAGGACAUGAUGUGUGUGUGUGUGAGGGUGAUCUAGUGAAAGUUGUGCUAGUGGUGUUGANNNNNNNNNNGCAACACUUGUGCACCUCCUCAUGUUGAUAUGAGAGAGGGCAUGAUGUGUGUGUGUGAGGGUGAUCUAGUGAAAGUUGUGCUAGUGGUGUUGAUAUGCAUAACACAUACAUGGGGUUCAAACCCCCAUGUCACUUUUUCAUUGUGCACAUGAGCUCAACCUUUGUAGUUGUUGACUUAGUAGGAACUACAUGAAAUGAUGCCCAUUCCCUAGGCAUGAUUUGGAGUAGUUUCCUCUCCCUUAUUUUGUGGUCACUUGUUCCAAGUAAGUGCCCACAUAUUAUAUAUGAUUUUGGGGUAGAAUCUCCCAAGGAAUCCAGUGGUGAAGUUAGUUUUUCCAUUACGAUACUUUAUGGAGUUGACAUAUUCAGAUUUGUUGCAAGUUUGAUCUUUGAUUCCAUGGAAUAGGUGGAGCCCAAGGGCANNNNNNNNNNGCCAUUAGGAUAAUUUCUGGAGUUGACAUAUUCAGAUUUAUUGCAAGUUUGAUCUUUGAUUCCAUGGAAUAGGUGGAGCCCAAGGGCAUGAGUUUUUGUGUGAUAGUAGUAGGGUUUUGCUCUACACCAUAGUGGUGUCAUAUAUCACUUGGUGUUACUUGUGUGCAAACUAUGCCUAGACAAAGUGGGCAUGUGGUUGAAAAUUCCAGUUUAGUGAAAUCUGGAAUUUCACUAAGUCUGGGAUUCUGGAAACAUUUUCUUCUCUUAUAGAUGAGGAUGUGCUGGUCAUUGUGUUGAGAUCUAGCCUUAGUUCAGUGCUAGGAUUUUGGACCUGAUAUGUUUUUUAAGUUCCCUGUCAAAUUUCAAAUCAUUUGGAGUCUAGUAGGUUGUGUUUUGAUUGCUGUCAAAAAGCUUCAGAACAAAGACAGNNNNNNNNNNAUAGCCUUAGUUCAGUGCUAGGAUUUUGGACCUGAUAUGUUUGUGAUGCUUCCUGUCAAAUUUCAAAUCAUUUCGAGUCCAGUAGGUUGUGUUUUGAUUGCUGUCAAAAAGCUUCAGAACAAAGACAGAAAUUCAGGUGCAGGAAUUUUCACCAAGUCCCUGAGAUCUGAUGGUUUUGGGGAAGUUUGUGGCCUUGUAUAUUAAUUCCUUUUGCUGUGAUUCUUGCUGGUGCUUGUAGGGUUCUUAGUGGGCUACAGCCACAUAUAUUAUUUGACAUAUUUGGUGGCCUGUAGCUAUGUUGCAUGUAGCUCACAAAGUGCUAAGAUGCAGUUUAUGGCAGAUUAUGUAGUUUUGUCAUUUCUAUGAUUGUGUGUGCUUAGUGGAUGUGGUGGUGCUCUUACUUGCUCCAAUCCAUUCAUGUGGGAGUGGUACAUGUCUUGGCAACCUGNNNNNNNNNNUAUGCAGUUUAUGGCAGAUUAUGUAGUUUUGUCAUUUUGAUGAUUGUGUGUGCUUAGUGGAUGUGGUGGUGCUCUUCCUUGCUCCAAUCCAUUCAUGUGGGAGUGGUACAUGUCUUGGCAACCUGGGAAUACCAGAUUUGUGCCAAUUGUGAGUGUGGUGUUGAUUCUUACACGUAGAGCUUCAUAUCUUGUUUCGUUGAUUCCCGUUGAACCGUAGCUCCGUUCGCAAUGUUCUUUAUAUGUUUUUGCAUAGUUUUCACGAGACGCAUCUCUUCAUGCCAUUCUCAUGCAUGUAAAAAUAUCCUAGUUUACAGUUCUGUCCAGAAACUUAUAGUAGUUCUUUUGCUUGUGCUAGUGAUAGAAAUAGUGAUGCAUGCUCAUUUUUCANNNNNNNNNNACAAUGUUCUUUAUAUGUUUUUGCAUCGUUUUCACGAGACGCAUCUCUUCAUGCCAUUCUCAUGCAUGUCGAAAUAGCCUAGUGUAAAGUUCUGUCCAGAAACUUAUAGUAGUUCCUUUUGCUUGUGCUAGUGAUAGAAAUAGUGAUGCAUGCUCAUUUUUCAUCUCAUGCAUCAUGUGAUUGUUGCAUCUUGUNNNNNNNNNNNNNNNNNNNNNNNNNNNNNNNNNNNNNNNNNNNNNNNNNNNNNNNNNNNNNNNNNNNNNNNNNNNNNNNNNNNNNNNNNNNNNNNNNNNNGAACAACAUUCGGUAACCAACCAUAUAACUCAAAUACGCAUAAAACAAUGUCGAACCUUAAGUGUGCAGACCCUACGGGUUCAGGAACUAUGUAGACAUCACCCGAGAGACUCCUCGGUCAAUAUCCAAUAGCGGGACCUGGAUGCCCAUAUUGGAUCCUACAUAUUCUACGAAGAUUUUAUCGUUUGAACAUCAGUGCCAAGGAUUCAUAUAAUCCCGUAUGUCAUUCCCUUUGUCCUUCGGUAUGUUACUUGCCCGAGAUUCGAUCAUCAGUAUCCGCAUACCUAUUUCAAUCUCAUUUGCCGGCAAGUCUCUUUACUCGUUCCGUAAUACAAGAUCCGCAACUUACACUAAGUCACAUUACUUGCAAGGCUUGUGUAUGAUGUUGUAUUACCGAGUGGGCCCCGAGAUACCUCUCCGUCACACGGAGUGACAAAUCCCAGUCUCGAUCCAUACUAACUCAACUAACACCUUCGGAGAUACCUGUAGAGCAUCUUUAUAGUCACCCAGUUACNNNNNNNNNNNNNNNNNNNNNNNNNNNNNNNNNNNNNNNNNNNNNNNNNNNNNNNNNNNNNNNNNNNNNNNNNNNNNNNNNNNNNNNNNNNNNNNNNNNNGUAGACCGAUAAUUUCUGCAUCUACUACUAUUACUCCACACGUCGACCGCUAUCCAGCAUGCAUCUAGUGUUUUGAGUUCAUGACGAACAGAGUAACGCCUUAAGAAAGAUGACAUGAUGUAGAGGGAUAAUCUCAAACCAAUGAUGAAAACCCCAUCUUUUUACCCUUGAUGGCAACAACACGAUACGUGCCUCGCUACCCCUUCUAUCACUUGGUGAGGUCACCGCACGGUAUGAACCCAAAACCAAGCAAUUCUCCCAUUGCAAGAAUCAUAGAUCUAGUUGGCCAAACAAAACCCACAACUCGAAGUGAAUUACAAGGAUAUGCAAUCAUGCAUAAGAGAGAUCAGAAGAAACUCAAAUAAGAUUCAUAGAUAAUCUGAUCAUAAAUCCACAAUUCAUCGGAUCUCGACAAACACACCGCAAAAGAAGAUUACAUCGGAUAGAUCUCCAUGAAGAUCAUGGAGAACUUUGUAUUGAAGAUCCAAGAGAGAGAAGAAGCCAUCUAGCUACUAGCUAUGGACCCGUAGGUCUGUGGUGAACUACUCACGCAUCAUCGGAGAGGUCAUGGUGUUGAUGAAGAAGCCCUCCGUAUCCGAAUCCCCCCUCGGUAGGGCACCAGAAUGUGCCCCAGAUGGGAUCUUGCGGAGACAGAAGCUUGCGGCGGCGGAAAAGUACUUUUGAUGAUCUCCUGAUUUUUUCUGGGAUUUUAGGUAAUUUAUAGGCGAAAGACCUAGGGAAGAGGUGGCCCAGGGAGCCCACAAGCCUGGGAGGCGCGGGCCCCCCUGGCCGCGGCUAGGGGGCUUGUGGGGUCCCUGCUGCCCCCCUGCCCAGAUUCUCAGGCUUCUUGAUCUUCUUAUAUUUCGGAAAAAAUCUUUUUGGCAGUUUCGUUCCGUUUGGACUCCGUUUAAAAUCCUCCUCUGAAAAGGGUCAAAAACAUGGAAAAAACAGGAACUGGCACUUGUCACUGAGUUAAUAAGUUAGUCCCAAAAAAUAUAUAAAAGGCAUACAAAACAUCCAAAGUUUGACAAGAUAAUAGCAUGAAACCAUCAAAAAUUAUAGAUACGUUGGAGAUGUAUUAACCUACGAGGUUUGUAGUAACUUGAUCCGAAGCUCUAAUGAUCACUAUCAUCAGCUUCCACUUCAAUUGGUGUAGGCGUCACAGGAACAACUUCCUGCGCCCUGCUACACACUGGUUGAAGUGACGGUUCAAUAACCUCAUCAAGUUCCACCAGUCUCCCACCCAAUUCUUUGGAGAGAAACCUUUCCUCGAGAAAGGAUCCGUUUCUAGAAACAAACACUUUGCUUCCGGAUCUGAGAUAGGAGAUGUAUCCAACUGUUUUGGAUAUCCUAUGAAGAUGCAUUUAUCCGCUUUGGGAUCGAGCUUAUUAGACUGAAACCUUUUCACAUAAGCAUCGCAACCCCAAACUUUCAAGAAACGACAGCUUAGGUUUCUCUAAACCAUAGUCUAUGGCGUGUCAUCUCAACGGAAGUAUGCGGUGCCCUAUUUAAAGUGAAUGUGGUUGUCUCUAAUGCAUAACCCAUAAACGAUAGUGGUAAUUCGAUAAGAGACAUCAUAGUAUGCACCAUAUCAUAAUAGGGUGUGGCUAUGACGUUCACACACAUCAUCACACUAUGGUGUUCCAGGUGGCAUGAACUGCGAAACAAUUUUCACAUUGUCUUAACUGCGUACCAAAAACUCGCAACUCAGAUAUUCAUCUCUAUGAUCAUAUCGUAGACAGUUUAUCCACUUGUCACAACGAUCUUCACUCUGAAAUAGCUUUGAACUUUUCAAUAUUUCAGACUUGUGAUUCAUCAAGUAAAUACUCGUGUAUCUACUCAAAUCGUCAGUGAAGUAAGAACAUAACGAUAUCCACUGCGUGCCUCAGCACUCAUUGGACUGCACACAUCAAAAAUGUAUUACUCCCAACAAGUUACUCUCUUGUUUCAUGUAGCAUGAUCUGCAUGUCUCAAGUGAUUCAAAAUCAAGUGAGCCCAAACGGUCCAUCCGCAUGGAGUUUCUUCAUGCGUUUAUACCAACAAGUAUGGUUUGCAUGUUUCAAUCGUUUCAAAAAAUGAGUGAGUACAAAGAUCCAUCAGCAUGGAGCUUCUUCAUGCAUUUUAUACCAACAUGACUCAAGUGGCAGUGCUACAACUAAGUGGUACUAUCAUUAUAACUUUGUAUCUUUUGGCACCAAUAUUAUGAACAUGUGUAACACUAUGAUCGAGAUUCAAUAAACCAUUGAGGGUAAUUAUUCAAGCAAAUAGAAUAACUAUUAUUCUCUUUAAUUGAAUAAUUGUAUUGCAAUGAACACGAUCCAAUCAUGUUCAUGAUUAACGCAAUCACCAAAUAACAAUUAUUUAAGUUUUACCACCAAUCUGGAUGAUAGAGGGAGCGUGCGAUGUUUGAUCACAUCAACCUUGGAAACACUUCCAACACGUAUUGUCACCUCGCCUUUAGCUAGUCUCCGUUUAUACCGUAGCUUUCAUUUCGAGUUACUAAUCACUUAGCAACCGAACCGGUAUCGAAUACCCUCGUGCUACUAGGAGUAAAGUACACAUCAAUAUCAUGCAUAUCAAAUAUACUUCUGUCGACUUUGCCAGCCUUCUUAUCUACCAAGUAUCUAGGGUAGCUCCGCCUCACUGACCGUUCCCCUCAUAACAGAAGCACUCAGUCUCGGGUUUGGGUUCAAUUUUGGGUUUCUUCAUUAGAGCAGCAACUUGUUUGCCGUUUCAUGAAGUAUCCCUUCAAGCCCUUACCCUUCUUGAAACUAGUGGUUUUACUAAGCAUCAACAAUUGAUGCUCCUUCUUGAUUUCUACUUUCACAGUGUCAAACAUUGCAAAUCACUCAAGGAUCAUCAUAUCUAUCCUUGAUUUGUUUAUAGUUCAUCACGAAGCUCUAGCAGCUUAGUCGCAGUGACUUUGGAGAACCAUCACUAUCUCAUCUGGAAGAUUAACUCCCACUUGAUUCAAGCGAUUGUUGUACUGAGACAAUCUGAGAACAUGCUCAACGAUUUGAGCUUUUCUCCUUUACUUUGUAGGCAAAGAAUCUUGUCGGAGGUCUUAUAUCUCUCAACAAGGGCACGAGCAUGAAAUCUCAAUUUCAUCUCUUUGAACAUCUCUUAUGUUCUGCGAUGUUUUCAAAACGUCUUCAGUGCCUUGCUUCUAAGCCAUUAAGUAUUGCGCACUGAACUAUUAUGUAGUCAUCAAAGACGUGUAUGUCAGAUGUUUGCAGCAUCCACAAACAACACCUGAGGUGCAGCACACCAAGUGGUGCAUUAAGGACAUAAGACUUCUGCGCAACAAUGAGGACAAUACUCAGUUUUACGGACUGAGUCCGCAAAGUUGCUACUAUCAACUUUGAACUAAAUUUUCUCUAGGAACAUAUAAAAACAGUAGAGCUAUAGCGCAAGCUACAUCGUAAUUUGCAAAUACCAUUGGACUAUGUUCAUGAUAAUUAGUUCAAUUAAUCAUAUUACUUAAGAACUCCCACUCAAAAAGUACAUCUCUCUAGUCAUUUGAGUGGUACAUGAUCCGAAUCCACUAUCUCAAGUCCGAUCAUCACGUGAGUCGAGAAUAGUUUCAGUGGCAAGCAUCUCUAUGCUAAUCAUAUCAACUAUACGAUUCAUGCUCGACCUUUCGGUCUCUUGUGUUCCGGGGCCAUGUCUGCACAUGCUAGGCUCGUCAAGUUUUACCCGAGUGUUCCGCGUGUGCAACUGUUUUGCACCCGUUGUAUGUGAACGUUGAGUCUAUCACACCCGAUCAUCACGUGGUGUCUCGAAUCAACAAACUGUAGCAACGGUGCAGAGUCGGGGAGAACACAAUUUCGUCUUGAAAUUUUAGUGAGAGAUCACCACAUAAUGCUAUCGUCGUUCUAAGCAAAAUAAGGUGCAUAAAAGGAUUAACAUCACAUGCAAUUCAUAAGUGAAUGAUAUGGCCAUCAUCACGUGCUUCUUUAUCUCCAUCACCAAAGCAUCGACAUGAUCUUCUUGUCACCGGUGCCACACCAUGAUCUCCAUCAACGUGUCGCCAUCGGGGUUGUCGUGCUACUUAUGCUAUUACUACUAAAGCUACGUCCUAGCAAUAUACUAAACGCAUCUGCAAACACAAACGUUAGUUUAAAGACAACCCUAUGGCUCCUGCGGGUUGCCGUACCAUCGACGUGCAAGUCGAUAUUAACUAUUACAACAUGAUCAUCUCAUACAUCCAAUAUAUCACAUCACGUCAUUGGCCAUAUCAUAUCACAAGCAUAUCCUUCGAAAACAAGUUAGACGUCCUCUAAUUGUUGUUGAAUGUUUUACGUGGUUUCAAUGGGUAUCUAGUAGAUCGCAUCUUACUUACGCAAAAACCACAACGCAGAUGUGCAAAUUGCUAUUUAUCCUCUCCAGGGACCGCCUCGGUCAAAACCAAUUCAACUAAAGUUGAAGAAACCGACACCCGCCAGUCAUCUUUAUGCAACGAGGUUGCAUGUCAAUCGAUGAAACUAGUCUUUUGUAAGCAUACGAAUAAUGUCGGUCCGGGCCGCUUCAAUCCAAAAAUACCGCCAAAUUGAGAAAAGACUCAGGAGGGCAGCAAAUCGAACAUCACCGUCCAGAAAACCCUUUGUGUUCUACUCGAGAUUACAUCUACGCAUGAACCUAGCUCAUGAUGCCUAUGUUGGGGAACGUCGCAUGGGAAACAAAAAAUUUCCUACGCGCACGAAGACCUACCGUGGUGAUGUCCAUCUACGAGAGGAGAUUUGGAUCUACGUACCCUUAAAGAUCGCACAGCAGGAAGCGUUAAGAAACGCGGUUGAUGUAGUGGAACGUCCUCACGUCCCUCGAUCCGCCCCNNNNNNNNNNUCCGUCCCACGAUCCGCUCCGAUCUAGUGCCGAACGGACGGCACCUCCAUGUUCAGCACACGUACAGCUCGACGAUGAUCUCGGCCUUCUUGAUCCAGAAAGUAAGACGAAGAAGUAGAUGAGUUCUCCGGCAGCGUGAAGGCGCUUCGGUGGUGGUUGCUACGACAACAAAAGUUCUUCCCCGGCAAUGGCGCCAGAAAUCCUUCUUGCUACUUCUCAAACAACAACGCCAAAAUUGACACGUUGACGGAGACUUGCUUGCGUCGGUUUUUGCCUUGAAGAGGAAAGGGUGAUGCAGCACAGGAGCAGUAAGUAUUUCCCUCAGUUUGAGAACCAAGGUAUCAAUCCAGUAGGAGAAUCUCGUCAAGUCCAGAGUACCUCCACAAACAUAAAGAUCUUGCACCCAAUGCUAUAAAGGGGUUGUCAAUCCCUUCAAGAUUGAUUGCAAAGUGAGAUUUGAAGGCGGAAAGUGCAACGAAGUAAAAUUGUAAGGCUAAAAAUAUGGUGUGGAGUAGACCCCGGGGCCAUAGUGUUCACUAGAGGCUUCUCUCAAAAUAGCAAAUAUUACAGUGGGUGAACAAAUUACUGUCGAGAAAUUGAUAGAACCGCGCAAAGUCAUGACGAUAUCUAAGGCAAUGAUCAUACAUAUAGGCAUCACGUCCGAGACAACUAGACCGAUACUUUCUGCAUCUACUACUAUUACUCCACACAUCGACCGCUAUCCAGCAUGCAUCUAGUGUAUUGAGUUCAUGACGAACAGAGUAACGCCUUAAGCAAGAUGACAUGAUGUAGAGGGAUAAUCUCAAACCAAUGAUGAGAACCCCAUCUUUUUACCCUCGAUGGCAACAACACGAUGCGUGCCUCGCUACCCCUUCUGUCACUGGGUGAGGUCACCACACGGUAUGAACCCAAAACCAAGCACUUCUCCCAUUGCAAGAAUCAUCGAUCUAGUUGGCCAAACAAAACCCACAACUCGAAGAGAAUUACAAGGAUAUGAAAUCAUGCAUAAGAGAGAUCGGAAGAAACUCAAAUAAGACUCAUAGAUAAUCUGAUCAUAAAUCCACAAUUGAUCGAAUGUCGACAAACACACCGCAAAAGAAGAUUACAUCGGAUAGAUCUCCAUGANNNNNNNNNNNNNNNNNNNNNNNNNNNNNNNNNNNNNNNNNNNNNNNNNNNNNNNNNNNNNNNNNNNNNNNNNNNNNNNNNNNNNNNNNNNNNNNNNNNNNNNNNNNNNNNNNNNNNNNNNNNNNNNNNNNNNNNNNNNNNNNNNAUACUAGCUAUGGACCCGUAGGUCUAUGGUGAACUACUCACGCAUCAUCGGAGAGGUCAUGGUGUUGCUGAAGAAGCCCUCUGUAUCCGAAUCCCCCCUCCGACAGGGCACCGGAACGUGCCCCAGAUGGGAUCUUGUAGAGACAGAAGCUUGCGGCGGCGGAAAAGUACUUUCGAUGAUCUCCUGAUUUUUUUCUGGGAUUUUAGGGAAUUUAUAGGCGAAAGUCCUAGGGCAGAGCUGGCCCAAGGAGCCCACAAGCCUGGGAGGCGCGGGCCCCCUGGUCGCGGCUAGGGGGCUUGUGGGGUCCCUGCAGCCCCCCUGCCCUGAUUCUCAGGUUUCCCGAUCUUCUUCUGUUUCAGAAAAAAUCUUUUUGACAGUUUCAUUCCGUUUGGACUCCGUUUAAAAUCCUCCUUUGAAAGGGGUCAAAAACAUGGGGAAAUAGGAACUGGCACUGAGUUAAUAAGUUAGUCCCAAAAAGUAUAUAAAAGGCAUGCAAAACAUCCAAAGUUUGACAAGAUAAUAGCAUGAAACCAUAAAAAUUAUAGAUACAUUGGAUACGUAUCAAGCAUCCCCAAGCUUAACUCCUGCUCGUCCUAAAGUAGGGAAGUGAUAAAGAAUUAAAUUUUGAUGUGGAAUGCUACCUAGCAUAGUUGUCCUUUGCAACUUCUUUCAUGUGACAUGAGUGUUCAGAUCCGUGAGAUUGAAAACAAUAGUUUGCUAUUGACAUGAAAACAAUAAUACUUCAAGCAAACUAGCAAGGUAAUCAUGAACUUUAAAAAUAACAAGGCCAAGGAAAGUUAUCCCUACAAAAUUAUAUAGUCUGGCUAUGCUCCAUCAUCCUCACACAACUAAUGUAAAUCAUGCACAACCCCGGUAUUGGCCAAGAAAUAGUUUUCGCACUCUUACUUUCUCAAACUUUUUAUAACUAUCAUGCAAUACAUGAGCGUGAGCCAUGGAUAUAGCACUAUAAUUGGAAUAGAGUGUGGUGGUGGUUGUGAGACAAAAAGGAGAAGAUGGUCACAUUGACUCUGCGUAUCAAAGGGCUAUGGAGAUACCCAUUAAUAGAUAUCAAUGUGAAUGAGUAGGGAUUGCCAUACAAAGGAUGCACUAGAGCUAUAAGUAUGUGAAAGCUCAAAAGGAAAACUAGUGGGUGUGCAUCCAACUUGCUUUCUCACGAAGACCUAGGGCAAUUUUGAGGAAACCCAUCAUUGGAAUAUACAAGCCAAGUUAUAUAGUGAAGAUUCCAACUAGCAUAUGGUGGUGACGAAACGAGAGGCUCUCAAUCAUGAAGAACAUGGUGCUAUUAUGAAGCACAAGUGUGGAAAAAGAUAGUAGCAUUGUCCCUUCUCUCUUUUCUCUCUUCUUCUUUUUUAUUUGGGCUCUUAGGCCUCUUUUUCUCUUUUUUUGGGCUCUUUGGCCUCUUUUUUUAUUUUAUUUCCUCACAUGGGACAAUGCUCUAAUAAUGAUGAUCAUCACACUUUUAUUUACUCACAGCUCAAAGCUUAGAAAUGACUUCUAUAGGAAAUGCCUCCGGCAGUGUACCGGGAUGUGCAACGAUCUAGCUUGGCGUAUGACGUUGAAACAUAUCGCUAGCUAUCUUGCGAUCAUGCAAUGGAAAUAUGAGAGUGACGGCACAAGUCAUGAGACGGAACGGUGGGAGUUGCAUGUCAAUAUAUCUCGGAAUGGCUACGAAAAUGCCAUAGUAGGUAGAUAUGGUGGUUGUUUUGAGGAAGGCAUUUGGUGGGUUUGUGUACCGGCGAGAAUUGCACGGCACUAGAGAGGCUAGCAAUGGUGAAAGGUGGAAGUGCAUCUAUACCAUGGACUCACAUUAGUCAUGAAGAACUCACAUACAUGUUGCGAAAUUUUUUAUUAGUAAUCGAAACAAAGUGCUAAACGCAUACUCCUAGGGGAAGGGUUGGUAGGUGUUAACCAUCGCACGAACCCGACCUCAACACAAAGGAUGACAAUCAAUAGAUCAAUUAUGCUUCGACUUCCUAACAUAGCGGUUCACCAUACGUGCAUGCUACGGGAAUCACUAACUUUAACACAAGUAUUUCUAGAUUCACAAUACCCUACUAACAUAACUCUUAAUAUUACCAAAUCCACGCCUCCAAACUAAUUGAGAGGAAUCAAAACUUCUCUUUCUACUCAAUGCACAUGAAUAUGGAGGUUUUUGUAUCCUCUUUGGGUACCUAUCACCUUUGGGACUACUUUCAUAGCAUAAGCCAACUACCAAAUCACGCACCGCCGUGCUCUAACAGAUCUAAGUGAAGCACAUAUAGCAAAAUUGUCUAGCUGAAAAGAUAUAAGUGAAGCACAAUGAGCAUUCUAGCAAAAUCACGGUGAGUUCAUGUCUAUCUCUAAAGGUGUGCAUCAAGGAUGAUUGUGACACAACAAAAAGAAAAUAAUCCUAAGAUACAAGACACUCCAAGCAAAACACAUAUCAUGUGGUGAAUAAAAAUAUAGCUCCAAGUAAUGUUACCGAUGGAUUGAAGACGAAAGAGGGGAUGCCUUCCCGGGGCAUNNNNNNNNNNNNNNNNNNNNNNNNNNNNNNNNNNNNNNNNNNNNNNNNNNNNNNNNNNNNNNNNNNNNNNNNNNNNNNNNNNNNNNNNNNNNNNNNNNNNGGAUGCCUUUGCGGCCUGUGUUCGUUUAUGAUGGACUAGUUGGAGCACCCCUGCAGGGUUUAAUCUUUCAGAAAGCCGUGCCCACGGUUAUGUGGCAACUUGGAAUAUUUUGUUAACAUCCGGUAUUAGAGAACUUGAACAUAAGCUAAUAAAAUUGCCAACUGUGUGCGUAUCCGUGUCUGUCCCCUCGAAGAUCCCUCUUCGAUCGGGAACACGGUGGGGUUAUGAAUGCCGUAGGUAGGUGGUCAGGAUCACUUAGUGAUCAAGUAUUCCCGACCGCUAGUGUAGACCACCUUCACAAUUACUUCGCGUAAGUUAGCCACUUAAUCAAGCUUAGGAUGCUGCAGCCUUAUACACUUCACCCUUACCCUACCUAAUAACAUGACUAGUUCUGGCACCAAGGUCUUAGAUUGCUGAGUCCCCGUGGCUCACGGAUUCCUCCGAAACUCCCAGCAGGUACAGGUACCCCAGAUAUAGAUGAUCCCGACGGCACCCAGCUGGCGUGGCAGUACGACGAGGAGACAGACCGCCUCUACGUGACCUAUCCAGGGGACUGAGGCGUGGUCGUGAUCGUGGGCCUGCAGGCAGGGUAGCAUAGCAUUUCCAUGUUUUGUAGUCCGUAGCGGAACUACNNNNNNNNNNNNNNNNNNNNNNNNNNNNNNNNNNNNNNNNNNNNNNNNNNNNNNNNNNNNNNNNNNNNNNNNNNNNNNNNNNNNNNNNNNNNNNNNNNNNAAAAAAAAGAGCAGGUGGGAAAAGGGGGAAGGACUCCUCCUUCCAAACCUAAUUGGACUCGGUUUGGAAGGGGAGGGUUGCCCCCCUUGGCUCGGCCGCCCCCUUGGGAGUCCUUGGACCCCAAGGCAAGGCUCCCCCUCCUCCCCCUAUAUAUACGCAGGUUUUAGGGCUGAUUUGAGACAACUUUGCCACGACAGCCCGACCACAUAUCUCCACGGUUUCACCUCUAGAUCGCGUUUCUGCGGAGCUCGGGCGGAGCCCUGUGAGAUAAGAUCACCACCAACCUCCGUAGCUCCGUCACGCUGGCGGAGAACUCAUCUACCUCUCCAUCACUCUUGCUGGAUCNNNNNNNNNNAGUUUCACCUCUAGAUCGCGUUUCUGCGGAGCUCGGGCGGAGCCCUGCUGAGAUAAGAUCACCACCAACCUCCGGAGCGCCAUCACGCUGGCGGAGAACUCAUCUACCUCUCCAUCACUCUUGCUGGAUCAAGAAGGCCGAGAUCAUCGUCGAGCUGUACGUGUGCUGAACGCGGAGGUGCCGUCCGUUCGGCACUAGAUCGUGGGACUGAUCGCGGGACGGUUCGCGGGGCGGAUCGAGGGACAUGAGGACGUUCCACUACAUCAACUGUGUUCACUAAUGCUUCUGCUGUGCGGUCUACAAGGGUACCUAGAUCGAACAUCCCCUCUCGUAGAUGGACAUCACCAUGAUAGGUCUUCGUGCGCGUAGGAAAUUUUUUGUUUCCCACGCGACGUUCCCCAACAGUGGCACCAUGAGCUAGGUUCAUGCGUAGAUGUCUUCUCGAGUAGAACACAAAAGUUUUUGUGGGCGGUGAUGUGCGUUUUGCUGCCCUCCUUAGUCUUUUCUUGAUUCCGCGGUAUUGUUGGAUUGAAGCGGCUUGGACCGACAUUACUCGUACGCUUACGAGAGACUGGUUUCAUCGUUACGAGUAACCCCCUUUGCUCAAAGAUGACUGGCAAGUGACGGUUUCUCCAACUUUAGUUGAAUCNNNNNNNNNNNNNNNNNNNNNNNNNNNNNNNNNNNNNNNNNNNNNNNNNNNNNNNNNNNNNNNNNNNNNNNNNNNNNNNNNNNNNNNNNNNNNNNNNNNNUGGGAUCUUGUAUUACGGAACGAGUAAAGAGACUUGCUGGUAAACGAGAUUGAAAUAGGUAUGCGGAUACUGACGAUUGAAUCUCGGGCAAGUAACGUACCGAAGGACAAAGGGAAUGACAUACGGGAUUAUACGAAUCCUUGGCACUGAGGUUCAAACGAUAAGACCUUCGUAGAAUAUGUAGGAUCCAAUAUGGGCAUCCAGGUCCCGCUGUUGGAUAUUGACCGAGGAGUCUCUCGGGUCAUGUCUACAUAGUUCUCGNNNNNNNNNNNNNNNNNNNNNNNNNNNNNNNNNNNNNNNNNNNNNNNNNNNNNNNNNNNNNNNNNNNNNNNNNNNNNNNNNNNNNNUGGGUCAUGUCUACAUAGUUCUCGAACCCGCAGGGUCUACACACUUAAGGUUCGACGUUGUUUUAUGCGUAUUAGAGUUAUAUGGUUGGUUACCGAAUGUUGUUCGGAGUCCCGGAUGAGAUCACGGACGUCACGAGGGUUUCCGGAAUGGUCCGGAAACGAAGAUUGAUAUAUAGGAUGACCUCAUUUGAUUACCGGAAGGUUUUCGGAGUAACCGGGAAUGUACCGGGAAUGACGAAUGGGUUCCGAAGUUCACCGGGGGGGCAACCCACCCCGGGGAAGCCCAUAGGCCUUGAGGGAGGCACACCAGCCCUUAGUGGGCUGGUGGGACAGCCCAAAAGAGCCCUAUGCGCCAUAGAGAUAAAAAUCAAAGAGAAAGAAAAAAAAAGGGAGGUGGGAAGGAAGGGAAGGACUCCCUCCCACCAAACCAAGUCCAACUCGGUUUCGGGGGGGAGUCUUCCCCCCUUGGACUCGGCCGACCCCCUUGGGGCUCCUUGAGCCCCAAGGCAAGGUCCCCUCCCUCCCACCUAUAUAUACGGAGGUUUUAGGGCUGAUUUGAGACGACUUUUCCACGGCAGCCCGACCACAUACCUCCACGGUUUUUCCUCUAGAUCGCGUUUCUGCGGANNNNNNNNNNGGCGGAGCCCUGCUGAGACAAGAUCAUCACCAACCUCCGGAGCGCCGUCACGCUGCCGGAGAACUCUUCUACCUCUCUGUCUCUCUUGCUGGACCAAGAAGGCCGAGAUCAUCGUCGAGCUGUACGUGUGCUGAACGCGGAGGUGCCGUCCGUUCGGUACUAGAUCGUGGGACUGAUCGCGGGAUUGUUCGCGGGGCGGAUCGAGGGACGUGAGGACGUUCCACUACAUCAANNNNNNNNNNNNNNNNNNNNNNNNNNNNNNNNNNNNNNNNNNNNNNNNNNNNNNNNNNNNNNNNNNNNNNNNNNNNNNNNNNNNNNNNNNNNNNNNNNNNCGGACCGUCGCCGUUGCACGUCGAACGACGCGGAACGCCGCCGCUCGCUCCGUCCACCGGUCGCCUCCCUCCGUCCUCGGAACCAGGCGCCGCCGCCGUCCUCCGAACCCGACCGAGGCCGGCGCCGGCCGGCGCCCACUCGACCCCCGAGAACCACGUCCAGGGUCGACCUCCGAGGCGCCACUUGGCCGCGGGCAGGCUGCGCUGGCUCCGGGCUCCGGGCGCGGGGGCGGGCGAGCGGCUGCUAGGCGGAGGACGAAGAGGAGGAGGAGGAAGACUUGACGAGGGCGGAGAGCCAGACGACGACGACGUUGAUGGAGAUGGUCACGUACGGCCUAGCGUCCACGGAGAAGUUGAAGCUGAAGUAGGACGCUCCCGGCGCCGAGGAAGAUGCCGCCAUCUCCAUGUCCAUGGUCUCUGUCUGUGGUAUGCCUGUCUCCUCUGCUCUUGCUGCCUUGGUGCUUCUUGCUUGCCUCUGGGAUGAGAGUUGUCGCUGGUCGCUGCGUGCUGGAUGCUAUUUGCAGAGCACGAAGGCUUGGCAUAUAUAGCUUGGUAGCCUCGCGAUAAGGCGCGAAACAAGUUGGAAGCGGGAUCGKACCCGUUGCGACUUGGGAAGAAGGAAAGCCGGGAGCGAAGAAGGUUCCCGGAAGCGGGGAGGCGUGGUGGAAACGCCGGACCAGACCGAGCGGUCGCCGGUUCGUGGCUUGUGAAAGUGAUGGAGCUGUCGUGCGCGCGCGCGCGGGGGUGUUUUUCAGCGGGUUUCGAGGGAGCUUCGCGGCGUGGAAACAUGCGCACCGGCGACCUGACCGUCCUGCUUUCUCGUGUUCUCGGUUGGGGUUGGCGUUGGAAUUCCACGCAGCCUCUCUCUCUCCUAUUUUAGUGGGCACGUCGCUCUCGUUUCGUCUGUGGUGCAGCCGCUCGUCUGCUACUCUUUCCGUUGUCGGGUUUCCUCCUGGUUGAUUUUCUUUUUGCGACUGAAUUCUGAUUUGAUUUUGAUAGAUAUAUGUGCGGUGGUGGACUGGUCGCAGGGAGCUGGGGGUGGUAUACGGCGACCGGUGUGAAGGAAGGUUGGUGAGUUGGCUGGCGAGCGCUUGACCAGAUUUCGUGGUGGACUCGACCAAACCAAACCAAACAGUGGCGUAGGUCUUUGCGCCAGCGGGCGUGAGGGAAUGCUUGCUCGUGCCCCCACCACCGGGUCGUCUCCGAUGACUGAGGUGUUUACACGCGACAGAGGUGCUAAUUAUGUGUGCUGCCGGCUGCAUAUAGAUCGAUAUACGCUAAAUGGAAACAUGACAACAAAACGUACGUUUGCCCGCACAAACCUUCCUGGACGGCAUGUUUGUCUCACGCUACUUUUCAUCCUUUGUUUUACAAAUUUGAAAUCUGAAGCUACAUUUCUUUUAAACACGAUAUAGAUGCAAGAGCUCAUAUAUAAGAGCAACUCUAGCAUACCCCGCAUCCCGUCGGCCCGUAAAACGCGUUUGCAGGUCGCGCAAAACAGCUUUUGCAGGCUGGCGUGGGCUGGCACAGAUGCGGACCCACCAAACGGAUCCGUAAAAAAAUAUAGUCGCGAAAUAUUCCUUUUUACGGGUCGGCUUUGCGGGAUCUGCUCUUUGCACCGCUGCUUCCCACGUAUCAUUAGCCCGCAAAUAUCAAAUACUCCCUCUGUAAGUUAAUAUAAGAGCAUUUAGACUACUAAAGUAGUGUUCUAAAUGCUCUUAUAUUAGUUUACGGGGACAUAAUUCAACAGCCGAAAACAAACUGAAUUAUUCGAAUCAAACACAAUACAAUAAUCAUCCGCAUUACAAACAAUUAUUCAAAACAUGUCAUGAAUACAAAUACAAAUGAAUACAAAAAUAAGUCACUGUCCAGCCAUUUGCCAAUGGUGUUCAAUGAGAUCUUUCUGAAGUUGAAAGUGGGUGUGUGGGUUUUCAAUCUCCUUGUCUGUCUGAAGAAAAGCUCUAAUGCGGUUUGGGUCUCUAGCUGGUUUAACACGGCUACCCACAUUGUCGUAAAAGAAUUCUAAGUUCCCAAGAUUCCUCGCAAGCUUGAACAAUUUUCACAAAGAGGGAUCGACGCAUUCCUUCUUUGAGUAAAUUACCGGCAAUUUUCCUCGCAAGCUUGAACAAUUUUCACAAAGAGGGAUCGGCGCAUUCGGUACCUUCUCCGGAAGAGGUGUGGAGGAUAUGUAGGAUGUUGGGGAACGUCGCAUGGAAAACAAAUUUUUUCCUACGCGCACAAAGACCUAUCAUGGUGAUGUCCAUCUACGAGGGGGAUUUCAGAUCUACGUACCCUUGUAGAUCGCACAGCAGAAGCGUUAAUAAACGCGGUUGAUGUAGUGGAACGUCCUCACGUCCCUCGAUCCGCCCCGCGAACCGUCCCACGAACCGUCCCGCGAUCUGUCCCACGAUCCGCUCCGAUCUAGUGCCGAACGGACGGCACCUCCGCGUUCAGCACACGUACAGCUCGACGAUGAUCUCGGCCUUCUUGAUCCAGCAAGAGAGACAGAGAGGUAGAUGAGUUCUCCGGCAGCAUGACGGCACUCCGAAGGUUUGUGGUGAUCUAAUCUCAGCAGGGCUCCGCGCGAGCUCCGCAGAAACGCGAUCUAGAGGAAAAACCGUGGAGGUAUGUGGUCGGACUGCCGUGGAAAAGUUAUCCCAAAUCAGCCCUAAAACCGCCGUAUAUAUAGGUGGGAGGGGAGGGGCCUUGCCUUGGGGCUCAAGGAGCCCCAAGGGGUUCGGCCGAAGGGGGGAGGAGGAGUCCUCCUCCAAUCCUAGUCCAACUAGGAUUGGAAGGUGGAGUCCUUCCCUUCCUUCCCACUUCCACUUUUUUCUCUUUGAUUUUCUUAUCUCCCUGCGCAGGGGCCUCUCUGGGCUUGCCCACCAACCCACUAAGGGCCGGUGCGGCACCACUAAGGCCUAUGGUCUUCCCCGGGGUGGGCUCGNNNNNNNNNNNNNNNNNNNNNNNNNNNNNNNNNNNNNNNNNNNNNNNNNNNNNNNNNNNNNNNNNNNNNNNNNNNNNNNNNNNNNNNNNNNNNNNNNNNNCUAAAAAAAGGGUUACUUUUAGUUUUGUAAAACAAAUUUUUAGGUAAUGUUACCUUUUCUAUAAUUUUUACUGAAAUUACUAAAACAAUAAUUACAGUUUUUCUAAAAAAAAUAGUUUUGAAAUUUUGAAAAAAUUAGGUUUAACUUUUUCAUUUUUUUAAGGUAGUUUUAMAAAWARUUACCAAAUUWCARWAAHAAUUUAAAAAAAAUAAAAAAAAUAAAAACAAAGAACAAAAAGGGUAAAAGGGAAAGAAAAUAAAAGAAAGAAAAAAACAAACAAAAAAUCUAAAAAAGAUAAAAUACCAAAAACGUAGAAGAAACAGGAGGAACCUUCUAGGAGAAAAAACGACUGAGAAACUAUAGAAGGUUCCCCAAACCGGAAUGGUGCAACUUGUUAAUAGUCGGCCCAGGUGAUUACCAUAAAAUGGACACAAUUUUAAUUGUAGAUGUAACUAAUUCACAAAAUGAAUCGUGCAUGAAAAUUCACAUGCAUAUCUUCUUUGUGUGGCGCCCGGUUGUACAUCGUGUAGCAUUUGAUCUACAGGCGCUACACCUCUGAUAAGCGUGGCAUCCGAGGUUAUAAUUCUGAUUGUAUGAUGUUUAAAUGAAAGGAGUCACUCUACAUUAUAUGACACCCGCUGAAAGAAGCCACAUUAUUUUAUAUUAAAAUUGAUGUAACUUUUAAUCCUUGCAUCCGAUGAAAAUAUGUUUUAUAUGAAUAUUGUGUAUUUUUCUGUGUUCUACGCAAUGGUGUCAUUUCCAUCGAUGUUAAGAUCAAUUUUCUUGAUGAAAUCUCUGUUGCAAAAAUGCGUCAUAAUAUAAUUGAUCGGAUUUGUUAAGACUUACAAAGUUGACAUGAUGGUAGCCACUGACUUAUAGCUUUUAUGCAUUUGCAUUCUACAUGAGUUUUACCCUAUAUAAUGUGUAUGUUCACGUCAUGUUCAUGCUUGUCAUGUUAGUCAUCUUUAAUAUGUUCAUGUCUUGCAUCUAAGUGACUAACAUGAUAUAUUUUUUGUAAACAAUCUUAUGAAGCUUUAUUUAACUGAAAUCAAUGUUUACAGAAAUAAAUGCAGGAUCAUCGGGUUGCUUAACCACACAUGGUCGCCAACCCCUAGUCUGGUAACAUGCUUCGUUAUGGAUGGGCCAGUUCCAAACACAGUAGGCCCACUUCCACCUCGUAGCCGGGCUUAGUCAGGUCAGUCGUCCAUUGUAGGAUUUUCUUCCACCUGGUCUUCGCACCUCUGAGACGGGGAGAUGCGGAGGCCGUCGGCUUCGUCGCCUCCGGCGAGGGGACCGGCGUUGGCUGCAGCAGCCGCUGUCGUUCUCCUCCCGGCUAUUUUCCCCGCGCUGUUCUCCCCGCUCGGCCGCGCCUUCCCUUCCCUAUUCUCGGUGCGUCCCCUAUAGUCGCCAUCCUCCUCUCCAGGCGGCUCGAUUUGAGCCGGUGUAGCGUCAUAUUGGCGAUCUUCCGCUUCUCUAGCUGCUUCCUACGCCUCUCCUUGCUAGUUCGCCACUUUGCCGAGUCCGAUUGUUUGGGGUGGGCGAAAAUUGGAUAUAAUCUAGAGGGAUUGGUACUUUUGGGGGGAGGAAUGUAUGUGGAAGGUGAAAUGAUGUGGUGAAUUCGUGGCUUUGUCCCCUCUUGAAUUGGAACUAGUACGAAAUUACAUUUGUUUAUUUGGUGUAUAUGUAUGUCGAUGCAGAGUAACCUGUAAAUAAGCAAAGUGUGCAACCUGUAAAUAAGCGAAGUUUGCAAGAUCUGGAUUCUUUUGAUGGACAGCAUCAUGCCAGUUGCAUCGGAUAUUUUGGUUUGGACAGUGGUCUCCAAUGUGUGAUUACGAGUAGAUUUUUUUGUAUGCAUUUCGGGGCAGUGUGGGACGCUGGGACUGUACUCGGCUACCAUGAGCCAUGACAGUAUUGGGAAUAACAUGUGUACUGGAUUACUCUACUAUGGCUGUGAAGAUAGAUUGGCUACUGAUGUGGACCUUAGUAAAUAUUUCUGCAGACUGCAAUAUUGUCUUUUUAAGAUUAAUCAUGUGGACAGCGUGUAUACUGCAGGAGUGGAAUGCCCCUAAGCCAAUGCACGAGUCUCUUUUCAAUGAGUCUUUGCGAUGGACAAUAGUGAGUAUUCACAACUCAGAUAAAUACUGGAAAUAGUUAUGUUGAAGUCUAUUUGUAACUUACUCUCUGUACAGCCAGAUGAACAAAAAAGAGAUCUCUGGACACCCUUGCCUGAUCAGGGGUGGAAACCAUGCAUAAGGUCAUCGAUCACUCGUGGUAACAUUCUGUGAUAAAUCUGUUUAGGUAAUGAUAUGCCUCCCGCUGCGAUAGAUCACUAAGCAUUUGGUUAUAUGAAGUGUAGGGUUACCUUCACAACCCAGUGGGUACAUACAAGUAUUUCUUGAUGGUGGCCUGAACCAGCAGAGAAUGGGGGUAACUCACUUCUUAUGUACCAAACUCAUGAUGUUAGAUUUAAUAUAACUUGCUUGGUUGAAACUUCAGAUCAUCUGGCUCUUUCUUUUUGUUCUCUAGAUAUGUGAUGCAGUUGCGGUUGCUAAGAUUUUGAACGCUACUCUUGUGAUCCCACAUCUUGAAGUAAACCCUGUUUGGAAAGACUCAAGGUGCUUUUGGAGUUUCAGAGUACUACUGUAUCUUGUUAAUUUUAAAUACUCCUGUUAGAUUGGAAGUGAAAGGUUUAGUUUGGUCUGCAGCUCAUUUGGAGAUAUUUUUAAUGUGGAUCACUUCAUCAACACCCUAAGAGGCGAUGUUUCAAUAGUGAGAGCUCCAUUAAAAGAAUUUUCGUGGAGCACAAGAGAGUUCUAUAGCACAGGAAUACGUGCUACAAGAAUAAAAACUGCACCUCUUCAUGCCUCGGCUAAUUGGUAUAUAGAGAAUGUCAGUCCUAUCCUGCAAAGGUUUGUGAUUUUCUUGGCCAUAUAGUCGCUUCUCUAGACCCCUUGAGUAAGUGGCAUAAUAAUGCUAAGAAACUGCAGUUCAUGUUUAGCCCAGGUUGAUGGCCACUGAACUGGCUUUAUAGUAUUAACAUGACAACUCGUUGUCUAACUUCAUUAGUUGGUUACUCUGUGAGGGGAAUCCUUCACCGAAAAUCUCAUGCAAGCGUUGUUUCCCUUGUCAGCUAUGGCAUUGCUGCCAUUGCCCCCUUUUCUCACCGCCUUGCAUUCGAUGAUUUGCCUGUGGAUAUUCAACGCCUGCGCUGUAAAGUUAACUUUGAAGCCCUGGUUUUUGUGCCUUACAUUAUAUCACUGGGGAGGACCCUUGAGAAGCGCUUGAGAUCUCCAGUGCAGGGGCAUUCCACUGAAUUAACCCAACAAGUUGUAGAAGAUUACACAGAUCAGUCUGAAAAGUAUGCAGUUGUACAUCUCCGCUUCGAUAAGGUAAAUGGAAGGGCUUCUGCUAUAUUUGGAAGUCGUACGUGUAUAUUUUUGUUAUCUUCAAGGAAUUUCCACUCUGAAACAACUCAAGCUGACCUACAUUUUUCAGGAUAUGGCUGCACAUUCUGCCUGUGACUUUGGCGGUGGUAGAGCUGAAAAAUUAGCUCUGGCUAAGUACAGGCAAGUUAUCUGGCAAGGGAGGGUAUUAAAUUCACAGUUAAGUGAUGAGGAGCUUCGAAACACAGGACGCUGCCCGUUGACUCCAGAAGAGAUUGGAUUGAUACUAGUAGCGCUUGGCUUUGACAGCAAAACUCGAUUUUAUCUUGCCUCUCACAAGGUUUGACUCUCUGCCUCUGCCGGUGCGCUUACUUAUUCUCCGUAGUGGAAGCAGAAAUUUCUAACAUACGUCACCUAUUAAGGUAUAUGGAGGGGAAGCUAGGAUCUCUAGCUUGCGCAAGCUUUUCCCGCUGAUGGUAGACAAGAGGAGCCUUGCAUCGGCAGAUGAGCUUGCUAGUAUCGAAGGGAAGGCUUCUGUGCUAGCAGCUCUUGACUACCAUAUCAGCAUGCACAGCGAUGUUUUCAUCUCUGCUUCUCCUGGCAAUAUGCAUAAUGCACUGGUAAAUCCUGUUUGGCUUCAGCUGUAUUCGCUAGAUUUCUCCUCUUUCUUUAUUGGUCCUGACCAGAUGAUGGUUGAUUCAGCUGGCCCACCGGACCUAUAGGAAUCUGAAGACGAUAAGGCCAAACAUGACAUUGCUUGGCCACAUAUUUGUGAACAAGAGCAUGGAGUGGUCAGAGUUUCAGCAGGCUGUGCAGGCAGGCCACAAAGGUAGAUACGGGCAGAUCCGGCUGAGGAAGCCGAAGCAGUCUAUCUAUACUUAUCCUGCCCCAGAUUGUAUGUGCCCAGGGUAGAUCGCCAAGUUUUCUGCGGUGCACCGACAAAAGAAAUGUGCUGAGUUACUUGCAGUUUCUAAUUAGGUUAAGCUCAUGUGGAUAUGUAUAUUUAGUUCUGAAUUUUCGGUUGAAUCAGUUUGCUGCCACUUCCAAUAGGAUCUUAAAAUUUUAACCAAAAUUUACGCACUAUACGUUGAGCCUUGAAGGACUCUAAUCUUGUGCUGUUUGCACGAUCCAUACGACGAAGUUGUAGUUUUGGAGCUGAUGUUGUGUAUCUGUGACCUGACUUGAUAUACUGGAUCCUUUUUCUUCUUUUAUUCCGCUGUUCUACUUCUGGGAGUCCGGUGUUCUGAAUUUCUGCUUUGAUUUAGUAUUACUAUCGUCAUGGCGAAUUCGAUACUAAUGCUUCAAACUAGUAGUAUGUUUUGCCAUGUUUUAAAAUAACACGCAUGGGUGAUAUUACAAGUACAGCCUCCGUCGGAAGCCAUGGGCGAAUCCACAAGGACAAAGUUUCACCACCGGAACUUUAAGAUUACAACACGUUUUUGCACUGCCACCUACUCCUCCACACUUUGUACAUCCUCAGCACCCCAAAAUAAUAAUUCAGACCACCUGAAACCUCCUUGGUCGGUGAAAUCGACGGAUUUAUUGGCCGGAGAUGGUCUGGAUGAUGGUGUUGUGCCAUGGGUCGGCCAGGUGCUGCUGCAGGUUCUCGAACGGCCCCUUCCCGGUCACGUUGUGCUGCACCAGGAACCCCAGGAACGCCAGCAUGGCCAGUCUCCCUGAACGAAUGAACGCGCGCGCGAAUACAGAUUAACGAGAGCCGUCGGAUUAGAAACCCGAGGGUUCAGAUGAGACUGAAGAGAGGAUGGACGUACCGUUGGCGAGCUCCUUCUCCUUGUUCUCGAGGGUGGGGGCGAAGUUGAGGGGGUUGAAGACGCUGCCGGGGUAGCCGCACUCGUGGGGCGGGAGGCUGUAGCUCUUGAAGAUGGGGUCCUGGUUGACGGAGCCCGGGUUCUUGAUGUCCUGCCACCGCCGGAUCUCGACGUAGUGGAAGAGGAUGAACUCGAUGACGAAGAGCGUGGAGGAGGAGGCGAAGUAGGUCUCCUUGCCGGCGUCGUACCACUCGGGCGCGUUCAGCAGCCCCGCCUUGGUCAGCACCUCCGGGAUCAGCAUCCCCGCCACCCCCAGCAUCGCCCACCGCCCGUUCACCAGCUCCGCCUGCACGAACCACCGCAGGUCCUCCGGGUCCUCCGCCAGCGCCAGCGGGUCAAAACCAUUGUCACCCGCCAGACUGCACACGUAUCGUCCGUCAGUACGGUCGUAAACAUAUGUAACAGCUGCGUGCAUGGGCACGACGGAAGUGGUGUGGCGUGUCGUGUGGUCUGCUCACCUGCCGUCGAGGUAGGCAGGGGACUGGAGGCCGGGGAGCCAGGACCCCUUGGCCUGGACGGCGACGUCGCGGCGGGUGGACUUGGCGAGCCCGACGCGGCCGGAGUCGCCCAGGAACCGGGGGCUCGACGCUGACGCCGCCGGCCGGAGAGCGGCCACGGGAGCGCGGGCACUGACCGACGACAUCUUCUGCUACUCCUGACUAGAGAGCGCGUACGGCAGGAGAGUGAGAGUGCGCGCGUGUGUGUGUGGUGGUUCUGCCUCUCCGCACCUGCGCUUGGCCCUUUGUAUUGGGCUGCGCUUCGGUGAUUUGUGGGUGUGGUGAGCUGGGCCCCGGAGGUCGAGAUGGACGGCGUGUGUUGGCGCCACCGCGUCGUCCGACGGCUGCGAUGCGUUUGCGCCUGGAGACUGGAUAGAUGGACCAGUGGGAGACCGGGAGGCGUAUGUGCGUUAUCUGGAUGAUGGAUAAUGCGGAAUCAAAAGGGGGAUCGCUAUUGGUCGGGGAAACGCACGUUCGGUUUACCUGGCUGCCACGUCGAUCGGACGAUCCGUCAUGAUGUACAGCUGUACAUGGUGCCAUGGCGGGUUGGUCUGUUUGCUUCAACUUUCGAGCUCUUCCACGGGAAACCGGCUUUCGCCCUAGAAAUGGCACGGAUGGUCGAACGGAUACAAGGUGAUGGAAAGAACCCCAUAGAAGGCGGUCGCGGCGAGCCGUCACGAUCCCGUAAUCGAACAAGAAAAUAAGAGUCGCCACACCUAACAUGAGGCGACCUAGACUAUUGAAUCGGAACUCAACCGUGCCGCCUAGGAAAAUCAUAGACCAUUAUGCAUAAAACACAUCAAGUUAUCGCCGGAGAAAGUAAGUGUCGAUCCAAUCCGUGGAGUUCCAAUCCUGCGAGCAGAUAGCGAGGACCAAUGACAUUGACUACGAGGACACGUGUAAAUGAUAGGGGAUCAACGGAUCCACUCCACGACGAAGCCGAAGGCACCGAUGUGCUGUAACUGGAUGAUAUUUGUGUUCCCCGACAAUGCCCCGAGGAGGGUAAUGAUGUAGAGCGUUGAUACGUCUCCAACGUAUUUAUGGUGUUUUUAUUGUGUCAUGCUAUUAUAUUAUCAAUUUCGGAUGCUUUAUAUGCUAUUUUAUAUCAUUUUUAAGAACUAACCUAUUAACCGAGUGUCCAGUGUCAGUUCCUAUUUUUUGCGUGUUUUGACUUCUCAGAAAAUCAAUAACAAACGAAGUUCAAACAUGAUGAAACUUUAUGAUGAUUCUUUCUGGACCAAAAAGGGACCCCUAGAAGGUUCGGGAGGAGGCCAGAAGACGUAGGGAGAGCCACAAGCUCACAGGGUCGCCGCCCCCCCCCCCGGGGGGGGGGGUAGGGCCCCUUGAGCUCGUGACUCCCACAGAACUCAUUUUGACCUAAUUCCACCUCUAUAUAUUCCCAUAUAAUCCCAAACCAACAGAGAGACACCCGAAACACUUUUCCCACUGCCGCAAGACUUUGUUCUUCCGUGAUUCCAUGUGGAGGCCUUUCCGGUACUCUAGCAGAAGGUGAAUCGAUCAUGGAGUCCAUCUACAUCAACCUUGAUGUCUCCAUGAUGGUGCGUGAGUAGUUCACCACGGACAUACGGGUCCAUAGCUAGUAGCUAGAUGGCUUAUUCUCCCUCUUUGAUCUUCAGUACCAUGUUCUCCUUGAUCUUUCUGGAAUUCUGUCCAAUGUAAUCUUCUUUUGUGGUGUGUUUGUUAGGAUCCGAUGAAUUGUGUGUUUAUGAUCAGAUUAUUCAUUUAAAGUAAUUGAGUCUUUUCUGAACUUUAUUAUGCAUGAUUGUUAUUGCUUUGUAUUUCUGUGUGAUCUAUCUAUUUGGUUUGGCCAACUAGAAUGAUUUAUCUUCAGUGGGGGAGAUGCUCUGUGAUGGGUUCAAUCUUGGGGUGUCCUCACCCAGUGAUAGUAGGGGUAGCGAGGCACGUAUUUGUAUUAUUGCCAUAAGGGAUAAAACAACAAGGGUUAUUCAUAUUGAUUGGGUUUACUUUUUCUACAUCAUGACAUCUUGAUUAUAGCAUUACUCUAUUUUUCAUGAACGUAAUACCUAGAUAGGCAAGCAUAGAAGCACUUUUGAAGUGGAGUAAUGGUACUAGAUGCAGAAUCGUUUCGGUCUACUUGUCACAGACGUGAUGCCUAUAUACAUGAUCAUUGCCAUGAAUAACAUCGUAAUUAUGCUCUUUUCUAUCAAUUGCCCAACAAUAGUUUGUCUACCCACAGUAUGCUAUGUGUUCGAGAGAGAAACCAAAUAUACUUUAUUCCAACUUACUUACUUUAUUUACUUUUAUUUUUAUAUAUCUAUCACUAUCAAAAUUAAUCCUUGCAAGUAACGAGUUCAAGGGGAUUGACGAUCCUCUUGCCUGUGUUGGGUGCAAGUGUUUGCUUUUGUGUGUGUAGGUGUUGAGGACAAUAAUUUGCAUGCUUCUCCUAUUGGUUCGAUAACCUUGGUUCUCACUGAGGAAAAUACUUAUCCGCUACUAUAUUUCUUCACCCUUCCUCUUCGGGGAAAAUCCCAACGCACCUCACAAGUAGCAGAAAGAAUUUAUGGCGUCGUUGUUGGGGAGAAUCACCAAACAACUCGAGGUACCUACACACACACUAUCGUUUACUUGUUUUGAUGGGGAACGUUGCAUGGGAAACAAAAAAAGUCCUACGCACACGCAAUACCUAUCCAUGGUGAUGAUCAUCUACGAGAGGGGAGAGUGUAUCUACAUACCCUUGUAGAUCGCUAAGCGGAAGCGUAUAUAACACGGUUGAUGUAGUGGAACAUCUUCGCGAUCCAAAUCGCAGCCCGUCCCGCGAUAUCAUCACGAUCCGUCCCUCGAUCCCAUCACGAUCCAUCUCGAUCUAGUGUCGAACGUACGACACCUCCGCGUUCAGCACACAUACAGCUUGAUGACGAUCUCCGCUUUCUUGAUCCAGCAAGAGAGACGAAGAGGUAGCUGAAUUCUCCGGCAGCACGACGACGUGGCGAUGAUGGUGGUGGAGCUACUCCGGCAGGGCUUCGCCGUGCCGUACCGAACUAGCUACGGGGUGUCACGAAGUGGUGGAGGGAGAGAGGGUUGCACUAUGGCUUGGGUGCCAAAAGCCUCUCUCACCUCCACUAUAUAUAGGUGGGAGGGAGGGGUGGCGCCCUAGGGAAAACCCCCUAGGGUUGGCCGGUGCACCAAGCAAGGAGGAGGAGUCCCUUCCUAUUUCGGUUUGCCCCACCUCUUCCUUCCUUUCUCCUCCUUCGGCCGAACCAGGCCCAUUUGGGCUGGCCACCAGCCCACCACGGGCUGAUGUGACUGUUGGGGAACGUCGCAUGGGAAACAAAAUUUUUCCUACGCGCACGAAGACCUAUCAUGGUGAUGUCCAUCUACGAGAGGGGAUGAGUGAUCUACGUACCCUUGUAGAUCGUACAGCAGAAGCGUUAGUGAACGCGGUUGAUGUAGUGGAACGUCCUCACGUCCCUCGAUCCGCCCCGCGAACAAUCCCGCGAUCAGUCCCACGAUCUAGUACCGAACGGACGGCACCUCCGCGUUCAGCACACGUACAACUCGACGAUGAUCUCGGCCUUCUUGAUCCAGCAAGAGAGACGGAGAGGUAGAAGAGUUCUCCGGCAGCGUGACGACGCUCCGGAGGUUGGUGAUGACCUUGUCUCAGCAGGGCUCCGCCCGAGCUCCGCAGAAACGCGAUCUAGAGGAAAAACCGUGGAGGUAUGUGGUCGGGCUGCCGUGGAAAAGUCGUCUCAAAUCAGCCCUAAAACCUCCGUAUAUAUAGGUGGGAGGGAGGGGACCUUGCCUUGGGGCUCAAGGAGCCCCAAGGGGGUCGGCCGAGUCCAAGGGGGGAAGACCCCCCCCCCCAAACCGAGUUGGACUUGGUUUGGUGGGAGGGAGUCGUUCCCUUCCUUCCCACCUCCCUUUUUUUUAUUUCUCUUUGAUUUUUAUCUCUAUGGCGCAUAGGGCUCUUUUGGGCUGUCCCACCAGCCCACUAAGGGCUGGUGUGCCUCCCUCAAGGCCUAUGGGCUUCCCCGGGGUGGGUUGCCCCCCCGGUGAACUUCCGGAACCCAUUCGUCAUUCCCGGUACAUUCCCGGUUACUCCGAAAACCUUCCGGUAAUCAAAUGAGGUCAUCCUAUAUAUCAAUCUUCGUUUUCGGACCAUUCCGGAAACCCUCGUGACGUCCGUGAUCUCAUCCGGGACUCCGAACAACAUUCGGUAACCAACCAUAUAACUCUAAUACGCAUAAAACAACGUCGAACCUUAAGUGUGCAGACCCUGCGGGUUCGAGAACUAUGUAGACAUGACCCGAGAGACUCCUCGGUCAAUAUCCAAUAGCGGGACCUGGAUGCCCAUAUUGGAUCCUACAUAUUCUACGAAGAUUUUAUCGUUUGAACAUCAGUGCCAAGGAUUCAUAUAAUCCCGUAUGUCAUUCCCUUUGUCCUUCGGUAUGUUACUUGCCCGAGAUUCGAUCGUCAGUAUCCGCAUACCUAUUUCAAUCUCGUUUACCGGCAAGUCUCUUCUUUGAAUUACCCUUCUUGCCUUUGCCGUUUCUCUUGAAACUAGUGGUCUUAUUCACCAUCAACACUUGAUGCUCUUUACGGAGUUCAGACUCUGCGACUUUCAACAUCGCAAACAACUCGCCGGGUGACUUGUUCAUCCCUUGCAUGUUGUAGUUCAACACAAAGCCUUUGUAGCUUGGUGGCAGUGAUUGAAGGAUUCUGUCAGUGAUAGCCUCUUGCGGGAGUUCAAUCCCCUGCUCAGCUAGACGGUUUGAGUACCCAGACAUUUUGAGCACAUGUUCACUGACAGACGAGUUUUCCUCCAUCUUGCAAGCAUAGAAUUUAUCGGAGGUCUCAUACCUCUCGAUCCGGGCGUUCUUCUGAAAGAUAAACUUCAACUCCUGGAACAUCUCAAAUGCUCCAUGACGCUCAAAGCAACGUUGAAGUCCCGGUUCUAAGCCAUACAAAACUGCACAUUGAACUAUUGAGUAGUCCUCCUUACGUGCUAACAUCCUGAUCAGCCGUAGCGGGUGGUUCAUCUCCUAGCGCAGCAUUAAGGACAUAGUCCUUCUUCCCAGCUUGUAAGAUUAGCUUAAGAUUACGAGCCCAGUCUACAAAGUUGCUUCCAUCAUCUUUCAACUUAGCUUUCUCUAGGAACGUAUUAAAAUUCAGGAUGACUGUCGCGUGAGCCAUGAUCUACAACACAAAUAUAUUCAAAGUGGACUUAGACUAUGUUGAAGAUAAUUAGAGUUCAACUUAAUCAAAUUAUCUGCUAAACUCCCACUCAAAAAUUACAUCUCUCUAGUCAUUUGAGUGGUUCAUGAUCCACCUACACUAUCUCAAGUCCGAUCAUCACGUGAGUUGAGUAUAGUUUCAGUGGUAAGCAUCCCUAUGCUAAUCACAUCAUCUAUAUGAUUCAUGAUCGACCUUUCGGUCUCAUGUGUUCCGAGGCCAUGUCUGCACAUGCUAGGCUCGUCAAGCUUAACCCGAGUGUUCCGCGUGCGCAACUGUUUUGCACCCGUCGUAUGUGAACGUUGAGUCUAUCACACCGAUCAUCACGUGGUGUCUCGAAAUGACGAACUGUAGCAACGGUGCACAGUCGGGGAGAACACAAUUUCAUCUUGAAAUUUUAGUGAGAGAUCACCUCAUAAUGCUACCGUCGUUCUAAGAAAAAUAAGGUGCAUAAAAGGAUUAACAUCACAUGCAAUUCAUAAGUGACAUGAUAUGGCCAUCAUCACGUGCUUCUUGAUCUCCAUCACCAAAGCACCGGCACGAUCUUCUUGUCACCGGCGCCACACCAUGAUCAUCCAUCAACAUGUUGACAUCGGGGUUGUCGUGCUACUUAUGCUAUUACUACUAAAGCUACAUCCUAGCAAAAUAGUAAACGCAUCUGCAAGCACAAACGUUAGUAUAAAGACAACCCUAUGGCUCCUGCCGGUUGCCGUACCAUCGACGUGCAAGUCGAUAUUUCUAUUACAACAUGAUCAUCUCAUACAUCCAAUAUAUCACAUCACAUCAUUGGCCAUAUCACAUCACAAUCAUACCCUGACAAAAACAAGUUAGACVUACACCUAGUAUGUUGUUGCAUGUUUUACGUGGUGACCAAGGGUAUCUAGUAGGAUCGCAUCUUACUUACGCAAACACCACAACGGAGAUAUAUGAGUUGCUAUUUAACCUCAUCCAAGGACCUCCUCGGUCAAAUCCGAUUCAACUAAAGUUGGAGAAACCGACACUUGCCAGUCAUCUUUGAGCAACGGGGUUACUCGUAACGAUGAAACCAGUCUCUCGUAAGCGUACGAGUAAUGUCGGUCCAAGCCGCUUCAAUCCAACAAUACCGCGGAAUCAAGAAAAGACCAAGGAGGGCAGCAAAACGCACAUCACCGCCCACAAAAACUUUUGUGUUCUACUCGAGAAGACAUCUACGUAUGAACCUAGCUCAUGAUGCCACUGUUGGGGAACAUCGCAUGGGAAACAAAAUUUUUCCUACGCGCACGAAGACCUAUCAUGGUGAUGUCCAUCUACGAGAGGGGAUGAGUGAUCUACGUACCCUUGUAGAUCGUACAGCAGAAGCGUUAGUGAACGCGGUUGAUGUAGUGGAACGUCCUCACAUCCCUCGAUCCGCCCCGCGAACAAUCCCGCGAUCAGUCCCACGAUCUAGUACCGAACGGACGGCACCUCCGCGUUCAGCACACGUACAGCUCGACGAUGAUCUCGGCCUUCUUGGUCCAGCAAGAGAGACAGAGAGGUAGAAGAGUUCUCCGGCAGCGUGACGGCGCUCCGGAGGUUGGUGAUGACCUUGUCUCAGCAGGGCUCCGCCCGAGCUCCGCAGAAACGCGAUCUAGAGGAAAAACCGUGGAGGUAUGUGGUCGGGCUGCCGUGGAAAAGUCGUCUCAAAUCAGCCCUAAAACCUCCGUAUAUAUAGGUGGGAGGGAGGGGACCUUGCCUUGGGGCUCAAGGAGCCCCAAGGGGGUCGGCCGAGUCCAAGGGGGGAAGACUCCCCCCCGAAACCGAGUUGGACUUGGUUUGGUGGGAGGGAGUCCUUCCCUUCCUUCCCACCUCCCUUUUUUUUUCUUUCUCUUUGAUUUUUAUCUCUAUGGCGCAUAGGGCUCUUUUGGGCUGUCCCACCAGCCCACUAAGGGCUGGUGUGCCUCCCUCAAGGCCUAUGGGCUUCCCCGGGGUGGGUUGCCCCCCCGGUGAACUUCGGAACCCAUUCGUCAUUCCCGGUACAUUCCCGGUUACUCCGAAAACCUUCCAGUAAUCAAAUGAGGUCAUCCUAUAUAUCAAUCUUCGUUUCCGGACCAUUCCGGAAACCCUCGUGACGUCCGUGAUCUCAUCCGGGACUCCGAACAACAUUCGGUAACCAACCAUAUAACUCUAAUACGCAUAAAACAACGUCGAACCUUAAGUGUGUAGACCCUGCGGGUUCGAGAACUAUGUAGACAUGACCCAAGAGACUCCUCGGUCAAUAUCCAAUAGCGGGACCUGGAUGCCCAUAUUGGAUCCUACAUAUUCUACGAAGAUCUUAUCGUUUGAACCUCAGUGCCAAGGAUUCGUAUAAUCCCGUAUGUGAUUCCCUUUGUCCUUCGGUACGUUACUUGCCCGAGAUUCGAUCGUCAGUAUCCGCAUACCUAUUUCAAUCUCGUUUACCGACAAGUCUCUUUACUCGUUCCGUAAUACAAGAUCCCGCAACUUACACUAAGUUACAUUGCUUGCAAGGCUUGUGUGUGAUGUUGUAUUACCGAGUGGGCCCUGAGAUACCUCUCCGUCAUACGGAGUGACAAAUCCCAGUCUUGAUCCAUACUAACUCAACUAACACCUUUGGUGAUACCUGUAGAGCAUCUUUAUAGUCACCCAGUUACGUUGCGACGUUUGAUACACACAAAGCAUUCCUCCGGUGUCAGUGAGUUAUAUGAUCUCAUGGUCAUAGGAAUAAAUACUUGACACGCAGAAAACAGUAGCAACAAAAUGACACGAUCAACAUGCUACGUCUAUUAGUUUGGGUCUAGUCCAUCACGUGAUUCUCCCAAUGAUGUGAUCCAGUUAUCAAGCAACAACACCUUGUCCAUAAUCAGAAGACACUGACUAUCAUCGAUCAACUGGCUAGCCAACUAGAGGCAUGCUAGGGACGGUGUUUUGUCUACGUAUCCACACAUGUAAAUGAGUCUUCAUUCAAUACAAUUAUAGCAUGGAUAAUAAACUAUUAUCUUGAUACAGGAAUUAUAAUAAUAACUAUACAUUUAUUAUUGCCUCUAGGGCAUAAUUCUAACAGUCUCCCACUUGCACUAGAGUCAAUAAUCUAGCCCUCACAUCACCAUGUGAAUUACAUUGUAAUAAAUCUAACACCCAUACAGUUCUGGUGUCGAUCAUGUUUUGGCCGUGGAAGAGGUUUAGUCAGCGGGUCUGCUACAUUCGGAUCCGUGUGCACUUUGCAUAUAUUUACGUCGUCCUCCUCGACGUAGUUGCGGAUGAGGUUGAAGCAUCGUUUGAUGUGUCUGGUCUUCUUGUGAAACCUUGGCUCCUUUGCUAAGGCAAUGGCACCAGCGUUGUCACAGAACAAGGUUAUUGGAUCCAGUGCACUUGGCACCACUCCAAGAUCCGUCAUGAGCUGCUUCAUCCAGACACCCUCCUUAGCCGCCUCCGAGGCAGCCAUGUACUCCGCUUCACAUGUAGAAUCUGCUACCACGCUUUGCUUGGAACUGCACCAGCUUACUGCACCCCCAUUAAGAAUAAAUACGUAUCCGGUUUGCGACUUAGAGUCGUCCGGAUCUGUGUCAAAGCUUGCAUCGACGUAACCUUUUACGGCGAGCUCUUCGUCACCUCCAUACACGAGAAACAUCUCCUUAGUCCUUUUCAGGUACUUCGGGAUAUUCUUGACCGCUGUCCAGUGAUCCACUCCUGGAUUACUCUGGAACCUACCUGCCAUACUUAUGGCCAGGCUAACAUCCGGUCUAGUGCACAGCAUCGCAUACAUGAUAGAACCUAUGGCUGAAGCAUAGGGGACGGAGCGCAUAUGCUCUCUAUCUUCAUCAGUUGCUGGGCACUGAGUCUUACUCAAUCUCGUACCUUGUAACACUGGCAAGAACCCUUUCUUGGACUGUUCCAUUUUGAACCUCUUCAAAACUUUAUCAAGGUAUGUGCUUUGUGAAAGUCCUAUCAGGCGCUUUGAUCUAUCCCUAUAGAUCUUAAUGCCUAGAAUGUAAGCAGCUUCUCCUAGGUCCUUCAUAGAGAAACUUUUAUUCAAGUAACCUUUUAUGCUCUCCAAAAGCUCUACGUUGUUUCCAAUCAGUAAUAUGUCAUCCACAUAUAAUAUUAGAAACGCCACAGAGCUCCCACUCACUUUCUUGUAAAUACAAGAUUCUCCAACCACUUGUAUAAACCCAAAUGCUUUGAUCACCUCAUCAAAGCGUUUGUUCCAACUCCGAGAUGCUUGCACCAGUCCAUAAAUGGAUCGCUGGAGCUUGCACACCUUGUCAGCAUUUUUAGGAUCGACAAAACCUUCGGGUUGCAUCAUAUACAACUCUUCCUUAAGAAAACCAUUAAGGAACGCCGUUUUGACAUCCAUCUGCCAGAUUUCAUAAUCGAAAAAUGCAGCUAUUGCUAACAUGAUUCUGACGGACUUAAGCAUUGCCACGGGAGAGAAAGUCUCAUCGUAGUCAAUUCCUCGAACUUGUGAAAAAUCCUUUGCCACAAGUCGAGCUUUAUAAACGGUCACAUUACCGUCAACGUCCGUCUUCUUCUUAAAGAUCCAUUUGUUCUGAAUAGCCUUGCGGCCUUCAGGUAGUAUCUCCAAAGUCCACACUUUGUUCUCAUACAUGGAUCCUAUCUCAGAUUUCAUGGCUUCUAGCCAUUUGUUGGAAUCUGGGCCCACCAUUGCUUCUUCAUAAUUCGCAGGUUCAUUGUUGUCUAACAACAUGAUUGAUAAGACGGGAUUACCGUACCACUCUGGAGCAGUGCGUGAUCUCGUCGACCUGCGUGGUUCAACAGAAACUUGAACUGGAGUUUCAUGAUCAUCAUCAUUAACUUCCUCCUCAACCGGCGUCGCAAUGACAGAGGUUUCCCCUUGUCCUGCGCCACCAUCCAGAGGGAUGAGAGGUUCGACAACCUCGUCAAGUUCUAUCUUCCUCCCACUCAAUUCUCUCGAGAGAAACUCCUUCUCGAGAAAAGUUCCGUUCUUAGCAACAAACACUUUGCCCUCGGAUUUGAGAUAGAAGGUGUACCCAACUGUCUCCUUUGGGUAGCCUAUGAAGACGCAUUUUUCCGCUUUGGGUUCCAGCUUUUCAGGCUGAAGCUUUUUGACAUAAGCAUCACAUCCCCAAACUUUAAGAAACGACAACUUUGGCCUUUUGCCAUACCACAGUUCGUAUGGUGUCGUCUCAACGGAUUUUGAUGGUGCCCUAUUUAAAGUGAAUGCAGCUGUUUCUAAUGCAUAACCCCAAAAUGAUAACGGCAAAUCAGUAAGAGACAUCAUAGAUCGCACCAUCUCUAACAAAGUACGAUUACGACGUUCGGACACACCAUUACGCUGUGGUGUUCCAGGCGGUGUUAACUGCGAAACAAUUCCACAUUGUCUUAAGUGAGCACCAAACUCGAAACUCAGAUAUUCACCCCCACGGUCAGACCGUAGGAACUUGAUCUUCUUGUUAUGAUGAUUUUCCACUUCACUCUGAAAUUGCUUGAACUUUUCAAAUGUUUCAGACUUGUGCUUCAUCAAGUAGACAUAACCAUAUCUACUUAAAUCGUCAGUGAAGGUGAGGAAAUAACGAUAUCCGCCGCGUGCCUCCACGCUCAUUGGACCACACACAUCGGUAUGUAUGAUUUCCAACAAGUCACUUGCACGCUCCAUUGUUCCGGAGAACGGAGUCUUAGUCAUCUUGCCCAUGAGGCAUGGUUCGCACGUGUCAAGUGAAUCAAAGUCAAGUGACUCCAAAAGUCCAUCAGCAUGGAGUUUCUUCAUGCGCUUUACACCAAUAUGACCCAAGCGGCAGUGCCACAAAAAUAUGGCGCUAUCAUUGUUUACUCUAACUCUUUUGGUCUCAAUGUUAUGCAUAUGCGUAUCGCUAUCAAGAUUCAAUAUGAACAAUCCUCUCACAUUCGGUGCAUGACCAUAAAAGAUGUUACUCAUAGAAAUAGAACAACCAAUAUUCUCAGACAUAAAAGAGUAACCGUCUCGCAAUAAACAAGAUCCAGAUAUAAUGUUCAUGCUCAACGCAGGCACUAAAUAACAAUGAUUUAAGUUCAUCACUAAUCCCGAUGGUAGUUGAAGUGACACUGUGCCGACGGCGAUUGCAUCAACCUUGGAACCAUUUCCUACGCGCAUCGUCACUUCGUCUUUCGCCAGCUUUCGUCUAUUCCGCAGUUCCUGUUUCGAGUUGCAAAUGUGAGCAACAGAACCGGUAUCGAAUACCCAGGCACUACUACGAGAGCCGGUUAAGUACACAUCAAUAACAUGUAUAUCAAAUAUACCUGAUUUUUCUUUGCCCGCCUUCUUAUCUGCCAGAUACUUGGGGCAAUUGCGCUUCCAGUGACCCAUACCCUUGCAAUAGAAGCACUCUGUUUCAGGCUUAGGUCCAGCCUUGGGUUUCUUCGGCGGAUUGGCAACAGGUUUGCCGCUCUUCUUCGAAUUGCCCUUCUUGCCUUUGCCGUUUCUCUUGAAACUAGUGGUCUUGCUCACCAUCAACACUUGAUGCUCUUUACGGAGUUCAGACUCUGCGACUUUCAGCAUCGCAAACAACUCGCCGGGAGACUUGUUCAUCCCUUGCAUGUUGUAGUUCAACACAAAGCCUUUAUAGCUUGGCGGCAGUGAUUGAAGGAUUCUGUCAGUGAUAGCCUCUUGCGGGAGUUCAAUCCCCAGCUCAGCCAGACGGUUUGAGUACCCAGACAUUUUGAGCACAUGUUCACUGACAGACGAGUUUUCCUCCAUCUUGCAAGCAUAGAAUUUAUCGGAGGUCUCAUACCUCUCGAUCCAGGCGUUCUUCUGAAAGAUAAACUUCAACACCUGGAACAUCUCAAAUGCUCCAUGACGCUCAAAGCGACGUUGAAGUCCCGGUUCUAAGCCAUACAAGACUGCACAUUGAACUAUUGAGUAGUCCUCCUUACGCGCUAACCAAGCGUUCUUAACAUCCUGAUCAGCCGUAGCGGGUGGUUCAUCUCCUAGCGCAGCAUCAAGGACAUAAUCCUUCUUCCCAGCUUGUAAGAUUAGCUUAAGAUUACGAGCCCAGUCUACAAAGUUGCUUCCAUCAUCUUUCAACUUAGCUUUCUCUAGGAACGUAUUAAAAUUCAGGAUGACACUUGCGUCAGCCAUGAUCUACAACACAAAUAUAUUCAAAGUGGACUUAGACUAUGUUCAAGAUAAUAAGAGUUUAACUUAAUCAAAUUAUAUGCUAAACUCCCACUCAAAAAGUACAUCUCUCUAGUCAUUUGAGUGGUUCAUGAUCCACUUACACUAUCCCAAGUCCGGUCAUCACGUGAGUUGAGUAUAGUUUCAGUGGUAAGCAUCCCUAUGCUAAUCAUAUCAACUAUAUGAUUCAUGAUCGACCUUUCGGUCUCAUGUGUUCCGAGGCCAUGUCUGCACAUGCUAGGCUCGUCAAGCUUAACCCGAGUGUUCCGCGUGCGCAACUGUUUUGCACCCGUUGUAUGUGAACGUUGAGUCUAUCACACCCGAUCAUCACGUGGUGUCUCGAAACGACGAACUGUAGCAACGGUGCACAGUCGGGGAGAACACAAUUUCGUCUUGAAAUUUUAGUGAGAGAUCACCUCAUAAUGCUACCGUCGUUCUAAGCAAAAUAAGGUGCAUAAAAGGAUUAACAUCACAUGCAAUUCAUAAGUGACAUGAUAUGGCCAUCAUCACGUGCUUCUUGAUCUCCAUCACCAAAGCACCGGCACGAUCUUCUUGUCACCGGCGCCACACCAUGAUCAUCCAUCAACAUGUUGACAUCGGGGUUGUCGUGCUACUUAUGCUAUUACUACUAAAGCUACAUCCUAGCAAAAUAGUAAACGCAUCUGCAAGCACAAACGUUAGUAUAAAGACAACCCUAUGGCUCCUGCCGGUUGCCGUACCAUCGACGUGCAAGUCGAUAUUUCUAUUACAACAUGAUCAUCUCAUACAUCCAAUAUAUCACAUCACAUCAUUGGCCAUAUCACAUCACAAUCAUACCCUGCAAAAACAAGUUAGACGUCCUCCAAUUUUGUUGUUGCAUGUUUUACGUGGUGACCAAGGGUAUCUAGUAGGAUCGCAUCUUACUUACGCAAACACCACAACGGAGAUAUAUGAGUUGCUAUUUAACCUCAUCCAAGGACCUCCUCGGUCAAAUCCGAUUCAACUAAAGUUGGAGAAACCGUCACUUGCCAGUCAUCUUUGAGCAAAGGGGGUUACUCGUAACGAUGAAACCAGUCUCUCGUAAGCGUACGAGUAAUGUCGGUCCAAGCCGCUUCAAUCCAACAAUACCGCGGAAUCAAGAAAAGACUAAGGAGGGCAGCAAAACGCACAUCACCGCCCACAAAAACUUUUGUGUUCUACUCGAGAAGACAUCUACGCAUGAACCUAGCUCAUGGUGCCACUGUUGGGGAACGUCGCGUGGGAAACAAAAAAUUUCCUACGCGCACGAAGACCUAUCAUGGUGAUGUCCAUCUAUGAGAGGGGAUGAGUGAUCUACGUACCCUUGUAGAUCGUACAGCAGAAGCGUUAGAGAACGCGAUUGAUGUAGUGGAACGUCCUCACGUCCCUCGAUCCGCCCCGCGAACAAUCCCGCGAUCAGUCCCACGAUCUAGUACCGAACGGACGGCACCUCCGCAUUCAGCACACGUACAGCUCGACGAUGAUCUCGGCCUUCUUGAUCCAGCAAGAGAGACGGAGAGGUAGAAGAGUUCUCCGGCAGCGUGACGGCGCUCCGGAGGUUGGUGAUGAUCUUGUCUCAGCAGGGCUCCGCCCGAGCUCCGCAGAAACGCGAUCUAGAGGAAAAACUAUGGAGGUAUGUGGUCGGGCAGCCGUGAGAAAGUCGUCUCAAAUCAGCCCUAAUUGCUCCAUAUAUAUAGGAGGAGGGAGGGGGGGCCUUGCCUUGGGGGUCCAAGGACCCCCAAGGAGUCGGCCGAGCCAAGGGGGGGAGGACUCCCCCCCCCCAAACCGAGUUGGACUUGGUUUGGUGGGAGGAGUCCCCCUCCCUUCCCACUUCCUCCCUCUUUUUUUUCUCUUUUCCUUUGAUUUCUUAUUCUUGGCGCAUAGGCCCCCUUGGGGCUGUCCCACCAGCCCACUAAGGGCUGGUGUGUCUCCCCAAAGCCUAUGGGCUUCCCCAGGGUGGGUUGCCCCCCCCCCCCGGUGAACUCCCGGAACCCAUUCGUCAUUCCCGGUACAUUCCCGGUAACUCCGAAAACCUUCCGGUAAUCAAAUGAGGUCAUCCUAUAUAUCAAUCUUCGUUUCCGGACCAUUCCGGAAACCCUCGUGACGUCCGUGAUCUCAUCCGGGACUCCGAACAACAUUCGGUAACCAACCAUAUAACUCAAAUACGCAUAAAACAACGUCGAACCUUAAGUGUGCAGACCCUGCGGGUUCGAGAACUAUGUAGACAUGACCCGAGAGACUCCUCGGUCAAUAUCCAACAGCGGGACCUGGAUGCCCAUAUUGGAUCCUACAUAUUCUACGAAGAUCUUAUCGUUUGAACCUCAGUGCCAAGGAUUCGUAUAAUCCCGUAUGUGAUUCCCUUUGUCCUUCGGUACGUUACUUGCCCGAGAUUCGAUCGUCAGUAUCCGCAUACCUAUUUCAAUCUCGUUUACCGACAAGUCUCUUUACUCGUUCCGUAAUACAAGAUCCCGCAACUUACACUAAGUUACAUUGCUUGCAAGGCUUGUGUGUGAUGUUGUAUUACCGAGUGGGCCCUGAGAUACCUCUCCGUCAUACGGAGUGACAAAUCCCAGUCUUGAUCCAUACUAACUCAACUAACACCUUUGGUGAUACCUGUAGAGCAUCUUUAUAGUCACCCAGUUACGUUGCGACGUUUGAUACACACAAAGCAUUCCUCCGGUGUCAGUGAGUUAUAUGAUCUCAUGGUCAUAGGAAUAAAUACUUGACACGCAGAAAACAGUAGCAACAAAAUGACACGAUCAACAUGCUACGUCUAUUAGUUUGGGUCUAGUCCAUCACGUGAUUCUCCUAAUGACAUGAUCCAGUUAGCAAGAAACAACAUCUUGUUCAUAAUCAGAAGGCACUGACUAUCUUUGAUCAACCAGCUAGCCAACUAGAGGCUUGCUAGGGACGGUGUUUUGUCUAUGUAUCCACACAUGUAAAUGAGUCUUCAUUCAAUUAAAUUAUAGCAUGGAUAAUAAACGAUUACCUUGAUACAGGAAUUAUAAUAAUAACUAUAUUUAUUAUUGCCUCUAGGGCAUAAUUCCAACAGUGACACCCUUCGGCCUCUUUAGUUCUCUCCCGGGUGAGUGACCCCUUGAUACGUCUCCAUCGUAUCUACUUUUCCAAACUCUUUUGCCCUUGUUUUGGACUCUAAUUUGCAUGAUUUGAAUGGAACUAACCUGGACUGACGCUGUUUUCAGCAGAAUUGCCUUGGUGUUAUUUUUGUGCAGAAAUCAAAGUUCUCCAACGUCCUGAAAAUCUACGGGGAGUAGUUUUGGAAAAUAUAAAAAAUAUCUGCGCCAAGUUCCACCUGAGGGGGUGGGCCAGUGGGCCACAAGCCCUGGCUCCGCCACCACCCCCCUGGUGGAGGUGGGCAGGCUUGUGGGGCCCUCACGGCUCUGCCGCCCCCAACCUCAGGUCUAUAAGUUCACUUUCGUCCCAGAAAAAAUAAAAAGAGAGGUUUUCGUCGCGUUUGCGAUACGGAGGCGCCGCCACCACCUGUUCUUCAUCUGGAGGGCAGAUCUGGAGUCCGUCUUGGGCUCCGGAGAGGGGAAAUCGUCGCCAUCGUCAUCAUCAACCUUCUUCCCUCUCCAAUUCCACGAAGCUCUUCAUCGUUCGUGAGUAAUCUAUUCGUAGGCUCGCUGGGCGGUGAUGAGUAGGAUGAUAUCUAUCAUGUAAUCGAGUUAGUUUUGAUGGGGAUUGAUCCCUAGUAUCCACUAUGUUUUGAGGUUGAUGUUGCUACUACUUUGCCAUGCUUAAUGCUUGUCACUAGGGCCCGAGUGCCAUGAUUUCAGAUCUGAAAUUAUUAUGUUGUCACCAAUAUAUGUGUGUUUUAGAUCCGAUCUUGGAAGUUGUAGUUACCUACUAUGUGUUAUGAUCCGGCAACCCCGGAGUGACAAUAACCGGAACCACUCCCGGUGAUGACCAUAGUUUGAGGAGUUCAUGUGUUCACCAAGUGCUAAUGCAUUGGUCCGGUUCUUUAUUAAAAGGAGAACCUUAAUGUCCCGUAGUUUCCUUUUGGACCCCGCUGCCACGGGAGGGAUGGACAAUAGAUGCAAUGCAAGUUCUUUUCCCUAAGCACGUAUGACGACACACGGAAUGCAUGCCUACAUCACAUUGACGAACGAGAGCUAGCCACAUAUCUCUCCGUGUGUAGUGCCCCAAGUGUAAAGCUUUCCCUUUUUGUAACCUUCCAUGUGGGACCACCUUGACAUUGUCAUGAGAGCUAUCUAUGCAUGUAUGAAUUCAUGUGUUCACCUUGUAUUUCUUCUUUUGCAUGCAUGCAUCCAUGCCAUACCAUUCUUACCAUGCCUUGUUUUGCUUGCAUCUAUACCUUGCCAUGUCAUAGAGUGGAGACUUGUGAUUUCAUGUGUUGAUGCACAUGUGAUGAUGGUGUGUGGAGUGUAAGAGUGGUUGCUAGGUAUUUUCAAAGUUCCUUGCAAUUCAAACCCUUUUUCUUCCUUUUACCUCAUGUUCAAAAUUACAUCUUCCCAAAAGCUGUUCUAAAAUGUCUUGUGAUUAGGGUUUAUUGUGGGAAUGAUGAUGUGUGUAUUUGCUGUAUUGUAUCUUGAUUUCAAGGGUGCAAAUAAACCCAAAACAGUAAAUUAAUUACUGUUUUGCAUUUAUUCCAAAUUGCUCCAAAUAUUGUUUUUCUAUUUUAUUCAAAUAGGCCAUAAUUCCUUAUGGCCACGGGCAUUUUUGCUUUGAUUUUAACCCCAACAGAACUGCCAGUGGAUUUAAGUCCUAGCUGUGUUUAUUUAAAGAAAGUUCAAAACCCUCUCAGCCCCUCUCCUCUAACUGACGCCGGUGGCAAGCAAACCAGCGCGGCCCAGCCCACUCCUUCCCAGCUCACACACGCGGGCGUCGUCCUCCUCCCCUUUCCAGCGAGGCAGGCGGCCCCACAAGUUAGCCUCUCACCUCGCUCCUCUCUGCUUUCCACCGAAGCUCCCCGCACGCACAUGGCAGCGCCGCGAUCCUCACCUCUCCUUCCCUCUAUUUAACCCCCCUUGGCGUCUGUGCAUCCGUGUUAGGGUUCCUCCCCGCCGCCGCAACGCCCAGAUCCCGAUCCACCUCUCUCUCUCUCGCCGCAACAAGUGAGGACCGCACGGGAUCGCCAUGGCCGACGGGUAGCAGCUCGCCGUCGCCAUCGAUCUACUUCCCCUGCUUCCUCUACGACGACGCCAACAGCUCGAGGGUGCCUCCAGGAGCCCGUUCCCGGCGCAAGACCGACCUCCCCCGCGCUACGUCCACUGCCUCCCGGCGGCGCGUCCCCUCCGACGAGAAGCCUCCCCGACGGUCUUCCUCCUCUACUUCCUCUACGAGCCGAUCCUCUCCUUGACUCGUACACGAGGUAGCGCUUCUCCUCCCUCCUCCCUGUCCCAGAUCGGGUGCGGUAACCGUAGGUUGUCACGCGCUUGCUCUCUGUCGCCGGCACCGCCGCUCGCCGUCGCUGUGCCGUAGUAGGGCCGCUCGGGUGCAGCUAGCACAUGAAAUGGACCCGUGCGUGUGUGGGCUUACUCCCCCCCACGGGCCGUUGCUCGAUUUGUACCACGUCGCUGGCGAGGGCCUUCCCCUAUUUCGGUUCGUCGCCGACAGUAGAUCAGCAGAGGGAUGCUCCUUCAGAUGUUUUGUAGCGUGUAUUAUUUCAGACUCCGUAGCGUAGCCAAGUGGUUUGAUCCCUGUUGUGCCUGAUGCAGGUGCUGGGUUCGAUCCCUCCCCGCGGCACCUUUUUGUUUCUCGAAUUAUCAGCACAGUUUACUGCAGGGAUGGCCUCACCUUGCUUGAACCCUCUGUUUUGUCGAAUAGUUGACAGUAGCAGAGUGGUAGAGGGUAGUUUGUGGCAUCAGAGGGUACUGGGUUCGAAUCCCAGGUGCCCCUGUUGUAUUUUUACCAUUCCUUUUAUUUCUUUUGCUUGUCCUACCAUAUUUGUGCCUAACCCAUAGGCAUUAAAGUGGACCAGAGGCAGGAUCUUUGGUUGUGUGUGUGUGUGCACACACUUGUGAUAGUGCAAGUGAUGUGUGUAUGUGUUUAUGUGGCUUAGUUGAAAAGUGGCUCAUGUGAUCUUGCUAGUGUGUUUGGGUGUGUAGUACUUGCAAAGUAUGUGCAUUGUGGAAUAGGUGAGAUGUGUGUGUUGAGGUGAUGUGUGUGUAAGUAGGGUACACAUAUGUGGUACCUAGCAGGAGUGUAUGUAUGUGUGGAUCCAUGUUUACUUGCAUAGCAGUUGUUCCUUCAUGUUGUGCUUGAGAUUAAGUGCUUGUGAUGAGGGUAUUGUGAUGAUAUGUGUGUGGUGAUAACAGCCCCAUUUUCAACACUUGUGCACCUCCUCAUGUUCAUAUGAGAGAGGACAUGAUGUGUGUGUGUGUGAGGGUGAUCUAGUGAAAGUUGUGCUAGUGGUGUUGAUAUGCAUAACACAUACAUGGGGUUCAAACCCCCAUGUCACUUUUUCAUUGUGCACAUGAGCUCAACCUUUGUAGUUGUUGACUUAGUAGGAACUACAUGAAAUGAUGCCCAUUCCCUAGGCAUGAUUUGGAGUAGUUUCCUCUCCCUUAUUUUGUGGUCACUUGUUCCAAGUAAGUGCCCACAUAUUAUAUAUGAUUUUGGGGUAGAAUCUCCCAAGGAAUCCAGUGGUGAAGUUAGUUUUUCCAUUACGAUACUUUAUGGAGUUGACAUAUUCAGAUUUGUUGCAAGUUUGAUCUUUGAUUCCAUGGAAUAGGUGGAGCCCAAGGGCAUGAGUUUUUGUGUGAUAGUAGUAGGGGUUUUGCUCUACACCAUAGUGGUUUCAUAUAUCACUUGGUGUUACUUGUGUGCAAACUAUGCCUAGACAAAGUGGGCAUGUGGUUGAAAAUUCCAGUUUAGUGAAAUCUGGAAUUUCACUAAGUCUGGGAUUCUGGAAACAUUUUCUUCUCUUAUAGAUGAGGAUGUGCUGGUCAUUGUGUUGAGAUAUAGCCUUAGUUCAGUGCUAGGAUUUUGGACCUGAUAUGUUUGUGAUGCUUCCUGUCAAAUUUCAAAUCAUUUCGAGUCCAGUAGGUUGUGUUUUGAUUGCUGUCAAAAAGCUUCAGAACAAAGACAGAAAUUCAGGUGCAGGAAUUUUCACCAAGUCCCUGAGAUCUGAUGGUUUUGGGGAAGUUUGUGGCCUUGUAUAUUAAUUCCUUUUGCUGUGAUUCUUGCUGGUGCUUGUAGGGUUCUUAGUGGGCUACAGCCACAUAUAUUAUUUGACAUAUUUGGUGGCCUGUAGCUAUGUUGCAUGUAGCUCACAAAGUGCUAAUAUGCAGUUUAUGGCAGAUUAUGUAGUUUUGUCAUUUUGAUGAUUGUGUGUGCUUAGUGGAUGUGGUGGUGCUCUUCCUUGCUCCAAUCCAUUCAUGUGGGAGUGGUACAUGUCUUGGCAACCUGGGAAUACCAGAUUUGUGCCAAUUGUGAGUGUGGUGUUGAUUCUUACACGUAGAGCUUCAUAUCUUGUUUCGUUGAUUCCCGUUGAACCGUAGCUCCGUUCGCAAUGUUCUUUAUAUGUUUUUGCAUAGUUUUCACGAGACGCAUCUCUUCAUGCCAUUCUCAUGCAUGUAAAAAUAUCCUAGUUUACAGUUCUGUCCAGAAACUUAUAGUAGUUCUUUUGCUUGUGCUAGUGAUAGAAAUAGUGAUGCAUGCUCAUUUUUCAUCUCAUGCAUCAUGUGAUUGUUGCAUCUUGUGGUGCUGCUGUUCAUUGGCUGUUAUUCUUAUGUUGGGUAGCACCGGGAUCGGAGAACGAAUACGUGGAGUCAGGAGAGUACGUGCAGGACGAUCCAGGACCAUUCCAAGCUGAGGAUAUCACAUGCAAGAUGAUAUGACCUUGAUUCCAUCUCUAGACUUGUUAUGCUAGUUUCGUUUACUUGUCAUAUUGCUUGCUGCCUACCACUGAAAUUAAAUUGCCUCUUCAUAUGCCAUGAGCCCAAACACUGUUCCCCUUCCUAGCAAAACUUGUAUGGCUAAGUAGGCUUUGCUCAGCUACUAAUGUUAGCGUUGCUAGAUGCAGGUCCUUUGACUCAUUUGAUAACAUGAGCUUUGAUAUACUUAUCUUAAAUUCUGUUAAUUAAUGAAUGCACCUAUAUACUUGGUAAAUGACGGGAGGCCUAGCCUUUUGCCGGGUGCUUUGUUCCGUUAUUGCCGCCUUAGUUACCGGUUACCGGUGUUUGAUUCCAUAAUGAUCGCUCCUAACACGUUCGGGGUUGUUAUGGGGACCCCCUUGAUAAAUCGCCUAGUGCUACGGCUUGUCCGGCAGGACCCAACAUUGGUUUUAAUCUGCUAAUCACACAAUAAUCCACAUAGGGAAUAGCUACCCCGAGGAAUUUAAUCAACAACCUGGGCUAGUGCUCCUCACGAGUGUUGGCCCCACCUGAGCGAUGUCCGGGGCCCCACUGGUCACCCAGAGGUUUAGCCAUCCCGACGUCUAGCUCAUCCUCGUGUCCUGAGACUGAGAUACGUGGCUCUUAUCAGGGUCGUCGACACGAUGGGAGGUCCUGCUAGCCUUGUCUUACCUUAGCGGUAUAUCUUGCGUAUAGGAAUCCGAGUGAAGCUUUGGUUUCCCCCAGAGUUGAGGUUUUCCUCUAAGGAAUCCGACAAGAUCAUGAGAUUCGUGAUAGAGGAUGCCUUUGCGGCAUGUGUUUGUUUAUGAUGGACUAGUUGGAGCACCCCUACAGGGUUUAAUCUUUCGGAAAGCCGUGCCCGCGGUUAUGUGGCAACUUGGAAUAUUUUGUUAACAUCCGGUAUUAGAGAACUUGAACAUAAGCUAAUAAAAUUGCCAACUGUGUGCAUACCCGUGACAGUCCCCUCGAAGAUCCCUCUUCGAUCGGGAACACGGUGGGGUUAUGAAUGCCGUAGGUAGGUGGUCAGGAUCACUUAGUGAUCAAGUAUUCCCGACCGCUAGUGUAGACCACCUUCACAAUUACUUCGCGUAAGUUAGCCACUUAAUCAAGCUUAGGAUGCUGCAGCCUUAUACACUUCACCCUUACCCUACCUAAUAACAUGACUAGUUCUGGCACCAAGGUCUUAGAUUGCUGAGUCCCCGUGGCUCACGGAUUCCUCCGAAACUCCCAGCAGGUACAGGUACCCCAGAUAUAGAUGAUCCCGACGGCACCCAGCUGGCGUGGCAGUACGACGAGGAGACAGACCGCCUCUACGUGACCUAUCCAGGGGACUGAGGCGUGGUCGUGAUCGUGGGCCUGCAGGCAGGGUAGCAUAGCAUUUCCAUGUUUUGUAGUCCGUAGCGGAACUACCUUGAUUGUAUCUGUGAUGUACUCUGAGUUAUUAAUAAGAAGACAGUUGAAUCCCGAAUUGUCUACUUUUAUUGUUAUUUGUGCUAUGUUACUUGCUUGCGAAAUGCUUAGAUGCGUUUCUUUCCUAUUCGGGGGCCUCGACCCCCAGAUCGGAAAGGACCGCAUCUUGGUCGUUACAAGUUGGUAUCAAAGCCUUACGACCAUAGGAGCUUUUGUGUGAUCGUACUUGGCCAAGUUGAGUCUAGAAAAUGUUUUGAGUCUUAGUUAUAUCGGAGAGUAGGAUCUUUUUUCUCCUCUUCUAUGCUCUGGUGAGGUUCCCGUCUUAGGAAAUCUUUAACUCUACUCCUUUUCUCGCUCAAAUUUUUUUUUAGGAUCACGCGGGUAUUUGUGAAAUCUAUAUGAUUUUGAUGUGACGGAAUCCUGUCCUGGUGCCUCCUAUCUGCUCUAAGUGUCAGGGGAGUUGAGCUCCAGGGAUUCUUGCGCACAUUGCCAUCAUUCAGAUUUCUGAGUAUCUAAGAAGAGAGGGUGUUCGUUAUUGCUUCAAUACGGGUAGUGGUGAGAUAACCCCGAUGUCCCCAGUACCGGUGUAGAUUGUUCGGGGGUAUUACCACACUUUGUAUCGUUGUGAUCACGAGGAUCUAUUGUAGAUGAAGGUCCGAGAUGCUGGUUGUGUGUUGAAGGAUGUGAUACAGGUGACGAGUUAGUUUAGGAGUUGUGUGAAAUACUCCUUGUAUCCGUGUACCUGAUUGCAUGACCAGUUAUUUCGAGAAUUCAUAGGUGGGAUAUCUAGUAGUAUCUUAUAGGACUAUCUUCCUACAGACGCUUGAUUGAUGUUUGGGAAAUCUCAGUCAUAUGUUUGUUCCGAGCAGUUCUAGCUCACACUUGUUUGAAGUGGUCCUUAUCGGAAUUUUGUCGUCUGUUACUUUGAGGAUGCACUCUUGCUAUGUUGUUCGAGUGCAAUGCUAAAUUCUGUUCAGAUAUUCCUGUCUUUUGAUUUAGCAAUAUCUUCAAUUAUUCUGUGGACUAAUAUGCUGUCCGUCUUCAGGAUGGCUCCACCGACUCGUCAGACCCCAGGGCGUGAGGAUAUGUCGCCUCCACCUCCUCAUCCUCCUCCUCCGCCGCCUCCUCCUGCAGAGGCCUGGUAGGCGAUGAUGGCAGCUACUAAUGCAAACACUCAGAUGCUGUUGCAGUUGAUCCAGGAGAGAGCCAAUCAUCAGCAGGGCAAUUUUCAGCAGGGUGGCAAUCACUUCGCCAAUCUGAGUCAGUUCCUGUCAAACCAGCCUAAGACGUUCACUUCUUGCGACCAGCCGUUUGAUGCAGAAGAUUGGAUCCGUGAUAUGAACAAGCAUUUCGAGUGUAGCAAUGUGCGUCCGGAGGACUAUGUCAAGUUUGCUACGUUUUAGUUGAAGGGGCAGGCUUCUAUUUGGUGGCAGCAGCUUAAGGACUCUAGAGGUGACAUGGUGAUGUCUUGGGACGAGUUUUGUCGUGACUUCAGAUCCCACUACACCCCUUCCAGUUUUGUUGAGGAGAUGCGUGAGAAGUUCAGGCGUUUGAAGCAGGGCAGCAAUUCUAUGUACAAGUACAAUGUCGAGUUCCACGAGCUGGCCCGUUACGCGCUGCAGGAUGUCCCGGAUCAGAAGAGCAAGAUCUACCAGUUCAGGGGUGGUUUAAAGGAGGAUUUGCAGUUAGCGCUUGCUUUGCACGAUCCAGAGGAGUUUGACAAGUUCUACAACUUAGCUCUCCGAGCAGAGGCAGCCUUGCUCAGGGUGGAAACCUCAAAGAAACGCUUCAGAGAUUCCAGCUCUUCCUCGACUCAGGUGGUUCAGAAGCAACAGAGGUUUUGGGUUUCUCCUCCUCCUCGGCACUCACAGCAGCUGAAGCACUCAGGUGGACGUGGUUCUUCCUGUUGGAACUAUGCCCUAGAGGCAAUAAUAAAUUAGUUAUUAUUAUAUUUCUUUGUUCAUGAUAAUCGUUUAUUAUCCAUGCUAUAAUUGUAUCGAUUGGAAACACAAUACUUGUGUGGAUACAUAGACAAAACACUGUCCCUAGUAAGCCUCUAGUUGACUAGCUCGUUGAUCAAAGAUGGCCAAGGUUUCCUGGCCAUAGGCAAGUGUUGUUACUUGAUAACGGGAUCACAUCAUUAGGAGAAUCAUGUGAUGGACUGGACCCAAACUAAUAGACGUAGCAUGUUGAUCGUGUCAUUUUGUUGCUACUGUUUUCUGCGUGUCAAGUAUUCGUUCCUAUGACCAUGAGAUCAUAUAACUCACUGACACCGGAGGAAUGCUUUGUGUGUAUCAAACGUCGCAAUGUAACUGGGUGACUAUAAAGAUGCUCUACAGGUAUCUCCGAAGGUGUUAGUUGAGUUAGUAUGGAUCGAGACUGGGAUUUGUCACUCCGUGUGACGGAGAGGUAUCUCGGGGCCCACUCGGUAAUACAACAUCAUACACAAGCCUUGCAAGUAAUGUGACUUAGUGUAAGUUGCGGAUCUUGUAUUACGGAACGAGUAAAGAGACUUGCCGGCAAAUGAGAUUGAAAUAGGUAUGCGGAUACUGAUGAUCGAAUCUCGGGCAAGUAACAUACCGAAGGACAAAGGGAAUGACAUACGGGAUUAUAUGAAUCCUUGGCACUAAGGUUCAAACGAUAAGAUCUUCGUAGAAUAUGUAGGAUCCAAUAUGGGCAUCCAGGUCCCGCUAUUGGAUAUUGACCGAGGAGUCUCUCGGGUGAUGUCUACAUAGUUCCUGAACCCGUAGGGUCUGCACACUUAAGGUUCGACAUUGUUUUAUGCGUAUUUGAGUUAUAUGGUUGGUUACCGAAUGUUGUUCGGAGUCCCGGAUGAGAUCACGGAUGUCACGAGGGUUUUCGGAAUGGUCCGGAAACGAAGAUUGAUAUAUAGGAUGACCUCAUUUGAUUACCGGAAGGUUUUCGGAGUUACCGGGAAUGUACCGGGAAUGACGAAUGGGUUCCGGGUGUUCACCGGGGGGGGGGGGCAACCCACCCCGGGGAAGCCCAUAGGCCUUGGGGGUGGCGCACCAGCCCUUAGUGGGCUGGUGGGACAGCCCAAGAAGGCCCUAUGCGCCAUAGGAAGAAAAUCAAAGAGAAAAGAAAAAAAAAGAGCAGGUGGGAAAAGGGGGAAGGACUCCUCCUUCCAAACCUAGUUGGACUCGGUUUGGAAGGGGAGGGUUGCCCCCCUUGGCUCGGCCGACCCCCUUGGGAGUCCUUGGACCCCAAGGCAAGGCUCCCCCUCCUCCCCCUAUAUAUACGCAGGUUUUAGGGCUGAUUUGAGACAACUUUGCCACGACAGCCCGACCACAUAUCUCCACGGUUUCACCUCUAGAUCGCGUUUCUGCGGAGCUCGGGCGGAGCCCUGUGAGAUAAGAUCACCACCAACCUCCGUAGCUCCGUCACGCUGGCGGAGAACUCAUCUACCUCUCCAUCACUCUUGCUGGAUCAAGAAGGCCGAGAUCAUCGUCGAGCUGUACGUGUGCUGAACGCGGAGGUGCCGUCCGUUCGGCACUAGAUCGUGGGACUGAUCGCGGGACGGUUCGCGGGGCGGAUCGAGGGACAUGAGGACGUUCCACUACAUCAACUGUGUUCACUAAUGCUUCUGCUGUGCGGUCUACAAGGGUACCUAGAUCGAACAUCCCCUCUCGUAGAUGGACAUCACCAUGAUAGGUCUUCGUGCGCGUAGGAAAUUUUUUGUUUCCCAUGCGACGUUCCCCAACAGUUCCCACCCACCCAACCCUGGCUUCCAGCAGAGAUACCAGCAUUAGAAGCAAGGGACUCCUCAGUCUCAGUUCCAGCAGCCAGUAGAUGUCACUUGUCACUAAUGUGGGCAGAAGGGUCACUAUGCCAACAAAUGCACUUCUCAGCUCCGUCUGCCUCCUCCUCCUCUAGGCAAACUUCCAAGCAACGCUCUUGUCAAAUUCAACCCCAGAUCAUCUCGAGUCAACAUGGUGAAUGCAGUUGAAGCAGACAACUCCUCUGAUGUGAUCAUGGGUAACCUCCUCGUCAAUGAUAUUACUGCUAAAGUGUUAUUUGAUUCUGGUGCUUCGCAUUCGUUCCUCUCGAUUCCAUUUGCAUCCAAGCAUAAUGUUCUUGUUGAAGAGCUUCCUAGUCCUUUGGCAGUAGUUUCACCAGGCAAGUUCAUGCAUGCUAGUACUCGUGCUCCCGUUGUUUCUAUCAAGAUGGGCAAUUAUUCUUUUCUGGCCUCUCCGUAUGUCUUGGGCAAGUCCGACAUCGACUUGAUUCUUGGUAUGGACUGGUUGGCCAUGAACAAGGCAUCAAUUGAUUGUGAAGCUAAAGAAGUCAAGCUUACUCACUCUUUGGAGGAUGUGAUUAUAUUCGCGGCGCGCGAUGAUACAAUCCGUUUGUUCUCCUUGAAUGAAAAGGGUGAGAUCAAUCCUAUUGAGCAAGUUCCAGUAGUCUGCGAAUAUCAAGAUGUGUUUCCUGAAGAGCUGCCAGGCAUGCCUCCGCACCGUGAAGUUGAGUUCGUCAUUGAGCUUAAGCCAGGCACAGAGCCAGUGUGCAAACGGCCGUACAAGCUGGGUCCAGAAGAGUUGAAGGAACUCAAGAGGCAACUCGAUGAGCAGGAGCGUUAGGGUUUGAUGAGACCAAGCUCGUCUCCGUGGGGAUGUGGUGUUCUAUUUUUCAAGAAGAAGGAUGGUUCGGACCGGCUGUGUGUCGAUUACCGCCCAUUGAACAAGAAGACAAUCAAGAACAAAUAUCCACUUCCGAACAUAACUGAGUUGUUCGAACAGUUGAAAGGUGCUAAAGUAUUGUCCAAGCUUGAUCUCAGAAUGGGCUAUCAUCAGAUUCGCAUUCGCGAGGAAGACAUUCCGAAGACGGCCUUCAGGACUAGUUUUGGCUCGUAUGAGUAUACGGUCAUGUCUUUUGGUCUGGCUAAUGCUCCUCCGACUUUUUGUCGAUUGAUGAACUAUAUUUUCUCACCAUACAAGAAUGAAUUUGUCUUGCUCUAUCUCGACGACAUUCUGGUCUUUUCUGAGGAUGAGGAAGAACAUGAGAGACAUCUCAGGUUGGUGCUUGAUAAACUGAGAGAAUACAAGCUGUAUGCCAAGUUUUCCAAGUGCGAGUUCUGGCUGAAAGAAGUGGUUUAUCUUGGGCAUAUUAUCUCUACCGAGGGCAUUAAGGUUGACCCAUCCAAGGCUCAAGCCAUUGUUGACUGGGAACCUCCGCAGAAUGUGAAGCAGCUUCGAAGCUUUCUCGGGCUUGCCGAAUAUUGCAGAAGAUUCGUUGAGAACUUCUCCAAAAUCGCCAAGCCGCUCUCUAGUCUUCUUCAGAAGGGUGUCAAGUAUGUUUGGUCUCCAGAAUGUCAACUGGCUUUCGAUACACUCAAAGAGAAGCUUAUCUCCACUCCGUUAUUGGCCCCUCCGGAUGAUUCCAAGCCGUACCAGGUCUUUUGCGACGCAUCUCUCCAGGGUCUUGGUGCAGUCUUGAUGCAAGAUAGGAAGGUGGUUGCUUAUACCUCCAGGCAGCUGAAGCCUGCGGGGAAGAACUAUCCUGUGCAUGAUCUCGAGCUAGCAGCUGUUGUGCACGCCUUGAUGACUCGGAGACAUCUCUUGUUGGAACGUAAGGUUGAAGUUUUCACCGAUCACAAGAGUCUCAAGUAUAUCUUCACUCAGCCUAACUUGAAUCUUCGGCAAACACGUUGGGUGGAAAUGCUCCAGGAUUUUAAUCCGAGUGUUGAGUACACGCCAGGCAAGGCAAAUGUUGUGGCAAAUGCAUUGAGCAGGAAGGCAUAUUGCAACAGUCUGAUUCUGCAACCUCUCCAGCCGGGUCUUUCUGAGUCUUUCAGGAAGCUCAAUCUUCAGCUAGUUCCUCAGGGUUUUCUUGCGAACCUUUAGAUCUCUCCUACCUUGGAAGAUCAGGUCAGAGCAGCUCAGCUACUUGACGCUAUGGUGAAAAAGGUCAAGAUUGGCAUGGGAAAGAGUCUCCCCAAGUAUAAGUGUUUCACUGUUGAUGCCAGGGACACAUUGUUUUUCGAGGAUCGCCUUGUCGUCCCGAAAGGUGAUCUCAGGAAGGUGAUCAUGGAAGAAGCUCAUAACUCUCUGCUCUCUAUUCAUCCUGGAAGUUCCAAAAUGUACCAUGACUUGAAGCAGACUUUCUGGUGGACUCGUAUGAAACGCGAAAUUGCACAAUUCGUAAACGAGUGUGAUGUAUGUCGAAGGGUGAAAGCAGAACAUCAAAGACCAGCAGGCCUCUUGCAGCCUUUGCCGAUUCCCGAGUGGAAGUUUGAUCACAUUGAGAUGGAUUUCGUCACCGGGUUUCCGAAGUCCAAGAAGGGCAAUGAUGCUAUCUUCGUCGUCAUCGACAAAUUGAGUAAAGGUCCUCAUUUCCUUCCAGUCAAGGAGUCCAUUUCAGCAGCUCAGUUGGCAGAGUUGUACACCUCCAGUAUUGUCUCUUUGCACGGUGUACCUAUGAUGAUGUCGUCAGAUCGCGGAAGUAUCUUCACUUCCAAGUUCUGGGACUCCUUUCAGUCUGCUAUGGGCACGAAGAUUCGCUUCAGCACAACGUUCCAUCCUCAGACUAGUGGUCAAGUGGAGAGAGUGAAUCAAGUUCUUAAGGACAUGCUGAGAGCCUGUGUUAUCUCUUUUGGCAUAAAGUGGGAAGAUUGUCUGCCUUUCGCGGAGUUCUCGUAUAACAAUAGUUAUCAAGCUAGUUCUGGAUAGGCUUCGUUUGAAAUUCUCUAUGGCAGGAAGUGUCGUACUCCGCUCAACUGGUCCCAGACAGGCGAGCGUCAGAUCCUUGGCAAUAAUAUGAUCGAAGAAGCUGAGGAGAUGUGUCGGAUCAUUCGCGACAACCUCAGAGCAGCGCAGUCCCAUCAGAAGAGCUAUUACGAUAGCAAGCACCGUGACAUGUCGUAUGACCUUGAUGACUUUGUCUAUCUCAAAGUGUCACCUAUGAAGGGUAUGCAGCGCUUUGGCCUCAAAGGCAAGCUUGCGCCUCGUUUCGUUGGUCCGUUCAGAGUGGUUGGCAAGAGGGGUGACCUUGCAUACCAGCUCGAGCUUCCGUCAACCUUUGCAAAUGUCCAUGAUGUGUUCCAUGUUUCUCAGCUUCGGAGGUGUUUCAAGACCCCCGAGCGGACUGUGCAUCUUCAAGAUAUCGACCUUCAGCCUGACCUUUCUUAUCGGCAUCCAGUUGCGGUUCUCGAGGCGACUGAGCGCAAGACCCGUAACAAGACUGUCAAGUUUCUCAAAGUGCAGUGGUCUCACCAUACCGAUAAAGAGGCUACGUGGGAACGCGAGGAUCACCUCUGUUCCGAAUUUCCCGAUUUCUUUCAGGCGUAGAUCUCGGGGCGAGAUCUUCUUUGUAGUGUGGGAGAAUUUGUAGUGCCGCAAGUGUAAAGCUUUCCCUUUUUGUAACCUUCCAUGUGGGACCACCUUGACAUUGUCAUGAGAGCUAUCUAUGCAUGUAUGAAUUCAUGUGUUCACCUUGUAUUUCUUCUUUUGCAUGCAUGCAUCCAUGCCAUACCAUUCUUACCAUGCCUUGUUUUGCUUGCAUCUAUACCUUGCCAUGUCAUAGAGUGGAGACUUGUGAUUUCAUGUGUUGAUGCACAUGUGAUGAUGGUGUGUGGAGUGUAAGAGUGGUUGCUAGGUAUUUUCAAAGUUCCUUGCAAUUCAAACCCUUUUCCUUCCUUUUACCUCAUGUUCAAAAUUACAUCUUCCCAAAAGCUGUUCUAAAAUGUCUUGUGAUUAGGGUUUAUUGUGGGAAUGAUGAUGUGUGUAUUUGCUGUAUUGUAUCUUGAUUUCAAGGGUGCAAAUAAACCCAAAACAGUAAAUUAAUUACUGUUUUGCAUUUAUUCCAAAUUGCUCCAAAUAUUGUUUUUCUAUUUUAUUCAAAUAGGCCAUAAUUCCUUAUGGCCAGGGGCAUUUUUGCUUUGAUUUUAACCCCAACAGAACUGCCAGUGGAUUUAAGUCCUAGCUGUGUUUAUUUAAAAAAAGUUCAAAACCCUCUCAGCCCCACUCCUCUAACUAACGCCGGUGGCAAGCAAACCAGCGCGGCCCAGCCCACUCCUUCCUAGCUCACGCACGCGAGCGUCGUCCUCCUCCCCUUUCCAGCGAGGCAGGCGGCCCCACAAGUCAGCCUCUCACCUCGCUCCUCUCUGCUUUCCACCGAAGCUCCCCGCACGCACAUGGCAGCGCCGCGAUCCUCACCUCUCCUUCCCUCUAUUUAACCCCCCUUGGCGUCCGUGCAUCCGUGUUAGGGUUCCUCCUCGCCGUCGCAACGCCCAGAUCCCGAUCCACCUCUCUCUCUCUCGCCGCAGCAAGUGAGGACCGCACGGGAUCGCCAUGGCCGACGGGUAGCAUCUCGCCGUCGCCAUCGAUCUACUUCCCCUGCUUCCUCUACGACGACGCCAACAGCUCGAGGGUGCCUCCAGGAGCCCGUUCCCGGCGCAAGACCGACCUCCCCCGCGCUACGUCCACUGCCUCCCGGCGGUGCAUCCCCUCCGACGAGAAGCCUCCCCGACGGUCUUCCUCCUCUACUUCCUCUACGAGCCGAUCCUCUCCUCGACUCGUACACGAGGUAGCGCUUCUCUUCCCUCCUCCCUGUCCCAGAUCGGGUGCGGUAGCCGUAGGUUGUCACGCGCUUGCUCUCUGUCGCCGGCGCCGCCGCUCGCCGUCGUUGCGCCAUAGUAGGGCCCCUCGGGUGCAGCUAGCACAUGAAAUGGACCCGUGCGUGUGUGGGCUUACUCCCCCCCACGAGCCGUUGCUCGAUUUGCACCACGUCGCCGGCGAGGGCCUUCCCCUGUUUUGGUUCAUCGCCGACAGUAGAUCAGCAGAGGGAGGCUCCUUCAGAUGUUUUGUAGCGUGUAUUAUUUCAGACUCCGUAGCGUAGCCCAGUGGUUUGAUCCCUGUUGUGCGUGAUGCAGGUGCUGGGUUCGAUCCUUCCCCGCGGCACCUUUUUGUUUCUCUGAAUUAUCAGCACAGUUUACUGCAGGGAUGGCCUCACCUUGCUUGAACCCUCUGUUUUGUCGAAUAGUUGACAGUAGCAGAGUGGUAGAGGGUAGUUUGUGGCAUCAGAGGGUACUGGGUUCGAAUCCCAGGUGCCCCUGUUGUAUUUUUACCCUUCCUUUUAUUUCUUUUGUUUGUCCUACCAUAUUUCUGCCUAACCCAUAGGCAUUAAAGUGGACCAUUUUGAUUUCUUCUCCUGCUGUGCAUAGAUAGAGGAAGGAUCUUUGGUUGUGUGUGUGUGUGUGUGUGCACACUUGUGAUAGUGCAAGUGAUGUGUGUAUGUGUUUAUGUGGCUUAGUUGAAAAGUGGCUCAUGUGAUCUUGCUAGUGUGUUUGGGUGUGUAGUACUUGCAAAGUAUGUGCAUUGUGGAAUAGGUGAGAUGUGUGUGUUGAGGUGAUGUGUGUGUAAGUAGUGCACACAUAUGUGGUACCUAGCAGGAGUGUAUGUAUGUGUGGAUCCAUGUUUACUUGCAUAGCAGUUGUUCCUUCAUGUUGUGCUUGAGAUUAAGUGCUUGUGAUGAGGGUAUUGUGAUGAUAUGUGUGUGGUGAUAACAGCCCCAUUUGCAACACUUGUGCACCUCCUCAUGUUGAUAUGAGAGAGGGCAUGAUGUGUGUGUGUGAGGGUGAUCUAGUGAAAGUUGUGCUAGUGGUGUUGAUGUGCAUAACACAUACAUGGGGUUCAAACCCCCAUGUCACUUUGUCAUUGUGCACAUGAGCUCAACCUUUGUAGUUGUUGACUUAGUAGGAACUACAUGAAAUGAUGCCCAUUCCCUAGGCAUGAUUUGGAGUAGUUUCCUCUCCCUUAAUUUGUGGUCACUUGUUCCAAGUAAGUGCCCACAUAUUAUAUAUGAUUUUGGGGUAGAAUCUCCCAAGGAAUCCAGUGGUGAAGUUAGUUUUGCCAUUAGGAUAAUUUCUGGAGUUGACAUAUUCAGAUUUAUUGCAAGUUUGAUCUUUGAUUCCAUGGAAUAGGUGGAGCCCAAGGGCAUGAGUUUUUGUGUGAUAGUAGUAGGGUUUUGCUCUACACCAUAGUGGUGUCAUAUAUCACUUGGUGUUACUUGUGUGCAAACUAUGCCUAGACAAAGUGGGCAUGUGGCUGAAAAUUCCAGUUUAGUGAAAUCUGGAAUUUCACAAAGUCUGGGAUUCUGGAAACAUUUUCUUCUCUUAUAGAUGAGGAUGUGCUGGUCAUUGUGUUGAGAUCUAGCCUUAGUUCAGUGCUAGGAUUUUGGACCUGAUAUGUUUUUUAAGUUCCCUGUCAAAUUUCAAAUCAUUUGGAGUCUAGUAGGUUGUGUUUUGAUUGCUGUCAAAAAGCUUCAGAACAAAGACAGAAAUUCAGGUGCAGGAAUUUUCACCAAGUCCCUGAGAUCUGAUGGUUUUGGGGAAGUUUGUGGCCUUGUAUAUUAAUUCCUUUUGCUGUGAUUCUUGCUGGUGCUUGUAGGGUUCUUGGUGGGAUACAGCCACUUAUAUUAUUUGACAUAUUUGGUGGCCUGUAGCUAUGUUGCAUGUAGCUCACAAAGUGCUAAGAUGCAGUUUAUGGCAGAUUAUGUAGUUUUGUCAUUUCUAUGAUUGUGUGUGCUUAGUGGAUGUGGUGGUGCUCUUACUUGCUCCAAUCCAUUCAUGUGGGAGUGGUACAUGUCUUGGCAACCUGGGAAUACCAGAUUUGUGCCAAUUGUGAGUGUGGUGUUGAUUCUUACACGUAGAGCUUCAUAUCUUGUUUCGUUGAUUCCCGUUGAACCGUAGCUCCGUUCACAAUGUUCUUUAUAUGUUUUUGCAUCGUUUUCACGAGACGCAUCUCUUCAUGCCAUUCUCAUGCAUGUCGAAAUAGCCUAGUGUAAAGUUCUGUCCAGAAACUUAUAGUAGUUCCUUUUGCUUGUGCUAGUGAUAGAAAUAGUGAUGCAUGCUCAUUUUUCAUCUCAUGCAUCAUGUGAUUGUUGCAUCUUGUAGUGCUGCUGUUCAUUGGCUGUUAUUCUUAUGUUGGGUAGCACCGGGAUCGGAGAACGAAUAUGUGGAGUCAGGAGAGUACGUGCAGGACAAUCCAGGACCAUUCCAAGCUGAGGAUAUCACAUGCAAGAUGAUAUGACCUUGAUUCCAUCUCUAGACUUGUUAUGCUAGUUUCGUUUACUUGUCAUAUUGCUCGCUGCCUACCACUGAAAUUAAAUUGCCUCUUCAUAUGCCAUGAGCCCAAACACUGUUCCCCUUCCUAGCAAAACUUGUAUGGCUAAGUAGGCUUUGCUCAGCUACUAAUGUUAGCGUUGCUAGAUGCAGGUGCUUUGACUCAUGUGAUAACAUGAGCUUUGAUAUCAUUAUCUUAAAUUCCGUUAAUUAAUGAAUGCACCUAUAUACUUGGUAAAUGACGGGAGGCCUAGCCUUUUGCCGGGUGCUUUGUUCCGUUAUUGCCGCCUUAGUUACCGGUUACCGGUGUUUGAUUCCAUAAUGAUCGCUCCUAACACGUUCGGGGUUGUUAUGGGGACCCCCUUGAUAAAUCGCGUAGUGCUAAGGCUUGUCCGGCAGGACCCAACAUUGGUUUUAAUCUGCUCACAUAAUAAUCUGCAUAGGGAAUAGCUACCCCGAGGAAUUUAAUCAACAACCCCGGCCAGUGCUCCUCAUGAGUGUUGGCCCCACCUGAGCGAUGUCCGGGGCCCCACUCGUCACCCAGAGGUUUAGCCAUCCCUUCGCCUAGCUCAUCCGUCGUGUCCUGAGACUGAGAUACGUGGCUCUUAUCAGGGCCAUCGACACGACGGGAGGUCCUGCUAGCCUUGUCUUACCUUAGCGGUAUAUCUUGCGUAUAGGAAUCCCAGUGAAGCUUUGGUUUCCCCAAGAGUUGAGGUUUUCCUCUAAGGAAUCCGACGAGAUCACGAGAUUCGUGAUAGAGGAUGCCUUUGCGGCCUGUGUUCGUUUAUGAUGGACUAGUUGGAGCACCCCUGCAGGGUUUAAUCUUUCAGAAAGCCGUGCCCACGGUUAUGUGGCAACUUGGAAUAUUUUGUUAACAUCCGGUAUUAGAGAACUUGAACAUAAGCUAAUAAAAUUGCCAACUGUGUGCGUAUCCGUGUCUGUCCCCUCGAAGAUCCCUCUUCGAUCGGGAACACGGUGGGGUUAUGAAUGCCGUAGGUAGGUGGUCAGGAUCACUUAGUGAUCAAGUAUUCCCGACCGCUAGUGUAGACCACCUUCACAAUUACUUCGCGUAAGUUAGCCACUUAAUCAAGCUUAGGAUGCUGCAGCCUUAUACACUUCACCCUUACCCUACCUAAUAACAUGACUAGUUCUGGCACCAAGGUCUUAGAUUGCUGAGUCCCCGUGGCUCACGGAUUCCUCCGAAACUCCCAGCAGGUACAGGUACCCCAGAGACAGAUGAUCCCGACGGCACCCAGCUGGCGUGGCAAUACGACGAGGAGACAGACCGCCUCUAGGUGAGCUAUCCAGAGGACUGAGGCGUGGUCGUGAUCGUGGGCCUGCACGCAGGGUAGCAUAGCAUUUCCAUGUUUUGUAGUCCGUAGCGGAACUACCUUGAUUGUAUCUGUGAUGUACUCUGAGUUAUUAAUAAGAAGACAGUUGAAUCCCGAAUUGUCUACUUUUAUUGUUAUUUGUGCUAUGUUACUUGCUUGCGAAACGCUUAGAUGCGCUUCUUUCCUAUUCGGGGGCCUCGACCCCAAGAUCGGAAAGGACCGCAUCUUGGUCGUUACACCGUGUUAUAGUUGUUGCAUGAUGAAUAUCAUCCAAACAAAUCACCGACCCAUUGCCUACGAGUUUGUUCUAUUGCUGCUACUACUGUUGCUACUGUUGUUACUUGUCUUGCUCUACUGCUGCUACUACUCUUGCUACUGCUGUUACUUGUCUUGCUCUGCUGCUACUGUUGCUACUACUGUCGCUUGCUACUGUUGCUAUUUGCUACUGCUCUCACUACCACUGUUCCUUGCCACUGCUGUUACUCGCUACUUUUCUGUUACUACUUUGGUUGCAGAUACUAAUCUUUUAGGUGUGGUUGAAUCUGAUAAAUUCAGCUGCUAAUACUUGAGAGUAUUCUUCCACCUCCCGUCAUGCGAAUCAACAAAUUUGGGUCAAAUACUCUACCCUCGAAAACUGCUACGAUCCCACGUGCUGGUGGGCGUCAACAACAUUCUCCUAGUUUCGAUUGCCGGAGAGUGCUAACAACAUUCUUCUGGUGCCGUUGCAAUGGGGAAGAACAGUUGACAUCAAGCAUUUUUCUGGCGCCGUUGCCGGGGAGGUAUUGCUAUAUUCUCUAAGUGACUUGGGAUUUAUAUCUGCUGAUCACUAUGAAGAAUCUGAAGGAUCCGAAGACCAAAGUCUUGCCCUCAACUACGAGGGGAGGUAAGGAAUUGCCAUCUAGCUCUGCACUUGAUUCACCUUCAGUUAUGAGUAAGUUUGCGACAUCACCUCCUGCUAGAAAUCUUGAUAUGUCGCAUGUGCUUGAUGAUGCUUGUGAUACUACUGCUAGAGAUGCUAUGCUUGAUACUAUGCCUGAUGCUAUGCCUGAUACUGCUAGAGAUGCUAUGCUUGAUACUGCUUUGCCUGAUGAUGCUAGAGAUGCUAUUUUGCCUGAUGAUGCUAUGCUUGAUACUGCUAGAGAUACCACUUUGCCUGAUGUUCCACUAGGGGUAUUCCUUGAUGCUCAUAUUGCUAGAGUUACUGCCAAUGCUCGUGAUGCUUGUGAUACUACCGAUACUAUUGAGAUAGAACCUGCUUUUGCUCCUGCUAGAUCUAGCUCUCCUAGAUAUGAAUUGCCUGAUAUACCUGAGGGUUACGUUAUGGAGGGAGAGAUAGCUGAGGAAUUUCUUGCGUGUAAGGAUGCCUAUGACGCUGAGAAAUUACUUCUCAAGUGGAAGGAAAAAUCUCGGGAAGCUAAGAUGAAAUAUGACCCGAAGUUUGCCACUUCACCUAUCUUUAUCACUGAUAAGGAUUAUGAAUUCUCUGCCGACCCUGAGAUAAUCUCUCUAGUCAAAUCUGAUCCUUUUCACUGUUAUGAGUCUGAGACGGUCGUAGCCCAUCUUGCCAAAAUACACGAUAUAGCCACCCUUUUCACUAAUGAGAAGAAGAUCCGCCACUACUAUAUCCUUAAGCUGUUUCCUUUCUCUCUAAAGGAUGAUGCUAAAGUAUGGUUCACCUCUCUUGCUCCUGGAUGUGUGAGUAGUCCACAAGAGAUGGUCUAUUACUUCUGUGAGAAAUAUUUCCCUGCCCAUAAGAAGCAAGCUGCCUUGCAGGAAAUAUACAACUUUGCUCAACUCCAAGAAGAGAGUCUUCCACAAGCUUGGGGGAGGUUCAUCCAGCUACAGAAUGCUUUGCCUGAUCACCCUCUUAAGAAGAACGAGAUACUUGAUAUCCUCUAUAACGGACUUACCGAUGCCUCUAGAGACCACCUAGAUAGUUGUGCCGGUUGUGUUUUUAGGGAACGAACUGUAGAACAAGCUGAGACUCUACUGAAUAACAUCUUGAUCAACGAUAAUGCUUGGACUAUUCCCAGACCACCUCCUAAGCCAUCUCCUAAGAAAAGAGGUAUUCUAUUCCUCAGUCCCGAAGAUAUGCAGGAAGCCAAGAAAUCUAUGCAAGAGAAAGGCAUUAGAUCUGAAGAUGUAAGAAAUCUACCACCUAUCGAAGAGAUCCAUGAUCUCGAUAACCCGAUACAGGUAGUAGAAGUAAAUUCUCUGUGUAGGUUUGAUGAGAGUGAUAUUCCUUUUGAUAAACCUGCUAGCCUAUGCUUUGAUGAAUUUGACAACUUUGUUGCCAAACAACAGAGUUUCAAUGAUUAUGUUAGCAGACAUUUGGAACAAAGUACUCGUAUGCUUAGCCAUUUAAGUGCUUGUGUAGACAGUAAUGUCAACGAUCUGAAGCUUCUGAGUAAACAUGCCUCUAUGAUUACUACUCAGGUAGAACAAGUACUUAAAGCUCAGAAUGACCUGCUAAAUGAAUUAAAUGACAACUCUAUCAGAGUCAUUACUAGAGGAGGCAAAAUGACUCAGGAACCUUUGUAUCCUGAAGGUCAUCCUAAGAGAAUUGAUCAAGAUUCUCAAGGAAUCAAUGCUGAUACACCCAGUCAUCCUAAGGAGAAGAAGAAGGAUGAUAGAAACCUGCACGCCAGUUCACCAAAUACUGUCACACAUGAAGAACCUAAUGAUAUUUCUGCGUCUGAUGCAGAAACACAAUCUGGUGAUGAACAUGAACCUGGUGACAAUAUGGACAGUGAUGUUCAUAAUAAUGCUCAACCUAGCAAUGAUGAGGAUGUGGAGAUUGAACCUACGGUUAAUCCUGAUAACCCACAACCUAAGAAAUACGAUAAGAAUGACUUCACUGCUAGGAAGCAUCGUAAAGAAAGGGAGCCAUGGGUUCAGAGACCUAUGCCCUUUUCUCCUAAGCCAUCCAAGAAAACGGAUGAUGAGGAUUUUGAGCGCUUCGUUGAGAUGAUAAGAGCCAUCUUUCUGCAGAUGCGGUUAACUGAUAUGCUCAAGAUGUCUCCGUAUGCCAAGUACAUGAAAUAUAUCGUGACUAAUAAACGGAAGAUACCAGAUCUUGAGAUCUCCACCAUGCUUGCCAAUUACAGUUUUAAAGGUGGAACUCCUAAGAAACUUGGUGAUCCCGGAGUGCCCACUAUACCUUGCUCUAUUAAAGGAACCUACGUAAGAACUGCCUUAUGUGACCUUGGAGCCGGUGUUAGUGUUAUGCCGCUUUCUCUUUAUCGUAGACUUGAAUUGGAUAAGUUGACACCCACUGAAAUUUCUCUGCAAAUGGCCGACAAAUCAACUGCUUUCCCUAUCGGCAUUUGCGAGGAUGUGCCUGUUGUGGUUGCUAACACCACUAUCUUAACAUACUUUGUAUCUUGGAUAUUCCCGAGGACGAUGCCAUGGCUGUCAUCCUCGGAAGACCCUUUUUAAACACGGCAGGGGCUGUUAAAGAUUGCAACAAAGGCAAUGUCACUUUCCACGUCAACGGUAAUGAGCACAUAGUGCACUUUCCGAAGAAACGAUAUCAAGUACAUUGCAUCAAUGCUAUCGAAAAGACUUCAUCGAUUCUUAUUGGGAGCUUUGAAUGCCCUAUUCCUCGUGUCAAGAUGAAGUAUGAUUUGCUUGUUGGGGAGAUACAUAUCCCCAUUGAGGUGACUUAGUGGCUAUUCGAAAAUUCUCCGUCCUCUCUUGCGAUUCGAGAAGGUUUUGUCAUAAGGACUUGAUCAAUCCCAUUGACGGAUUUCUUUUGAUGACCAUGAAACGGAUGAAUCAAAGAGUCACAUACCUCUGUUUUAAAGCUUUCAUUUUCUGUUGCUUAGAAGAAAAAUGAUAGAAUUAGUCUAGCUUUUCCUGUUUUCUGUUUUAGCGUCCCGGAGAAAAAUACCUUGAAAAUAAAAGUUCUUCGAUGGUCCUGAAAAUUUAGUACGAUUUUUUCUGGAAUUUUUGAAAAUUUAUGGACCUGAGAGCUGGCCUGGGGGCCAGACCAGUGGGCCACAAGCCCUGCCACCGCCACCUACCCCCCUGGUGGCGGAGUGCAAGAUUGUGGGGCCUACAGGCACCCCCCUCCACUCAUUCCAGCUCUCAGCUUCUUCUUCCACCUCCAGAAAAAAUUGUUUCACAGCUCAAACCCGUGUUCUUGGUCAUUUGGUUGUGAUUUUCGAUCUCCUUGCUCAAAGCACCAUUCUCCGAACCGUUUUGGGGAAAUUGCUCCUUGGUAAGCGACUCCUCCAUUGGUCCCAUUAGUUUUUGCUCUAGUGCUUUAUCCUUCGUGUACUCUUGCUACCUUGGUGACCCUGUUCUUGAGCUAGAAAUGUUGAUUUUAGCUGGUUCCAAGUAGUUUUAGCGCGUGAUACGGUCUCUAGGCACUAGUAGGAGUAGUUGCUACAAGUUGGGUUAAUCUUUAUUCACUUUUCUUUCGAAGUCUCUAAAAAUUUCAGAAUUUUUCAGAGCUAGAAAAAGGAAAAGAUGAGGAGGUUCUUGAGAGCCUCCUCAAGCCAUAACCCCAAGGAGGAUGAGAAGAACCACCCCAAGUACGUAGUCCCUCGAGUCACAGAAGUUCGAGCGUGCGAGUGGCCAAGUGAUGAAUUUUUGUGCGUCGCCGGACUUUAUGAAGACUUUUAUUACUUGGUGGAUAACGCAGGUCUUACUGCGUUCGUUGAAGAUAAGUGCUCACAAUACCUCCUCCUCACCAAUAUUUUCGUUCAAAGCUUCAACUUUUAUCCGAGGAAGAAUCCUCCCAUGGUUGAGUUCAUGAUAUACGAUGUCCCCUAGUGCAUGACACUGCAGGAUUUUUGCAAUGUGUGCAAAUGACCUUAUGUUGGGGAUAUCCGUGACCCUCGUCCACAGGACUUGGAGGAUUUCAUUGGUUCUAUUGCUGUCGGAGAGGAGAGAGGAGUGUCUCGCGCUAGAAUUGCUAGCAUACAUUUUCCUGUGCUUCAGUACUUCUCACUAUUUGUGGGAAAAUGUUUGAUUGGCCGUGGGGAGGCUGGGUCACUUAGUUCUCCACACCUUGCGGUUUUGCGCGAAGGCCUUUAUAACGAUAACACUUAUAGUUUGGGCGCUAUAGUAGCUCAACGGUUGAACCUGAACCAUUCUAAAGGUGUAGUAUAUGGAGGUAUCUAUGCUACCCGUCUUGCUAGACACUUUGAGAUACGCAUUAGACUGGGAGAGGAAGGAGAGAUGUUUCUCCAUGAGAAAUAUCUGGAUUAUGACAGCAUGGUUCGCCAUGAUUUUCUGGAUAGAGAUGCUAGUAGACGGAUGAUUUAUAACCUGGUGUUUAGUCAGGGUACUCGAGAGACUAUUACUUUGCCUGCUCGUUCUUUGUUCGAUCUUCAUGCAGGCAGGUACACUAUUAUGCCCUCGGACAUCUACGCAUAUUGGGGCUUGGCCCAACCACAGGCGCCCGAGCCCGAGCCGCCAGUCGACUACCAGACGCCAGUUUAUCAGUGGGAACCAGAGGAGCUCACACAGUAGUGGCAUCCACAGUCUGCUCCGGAGUAUCCUGGAGCUGGUUAUUUCCCACCUUGGGAGUAGACCAAGCUAGGCCAAAAGCCUAAGCUUGGGGGAGUAUGUGUUCUCACCGACUUUACAUUCAUGCUUAUGCUUUCACUUUGUUAGCCGGUGUUUACACUUUACCACUGUAUUAUCCAUGCUAGUUUAUUUUUCUUUUCUUGUUUUCCUGUUUUGUGUCCUUUUGAGAAAACCCAAAAAGAUUUUUCUUUCUUCUUUUGCUUGUUGGGAGUUUUCCCAUGUAAAUAGUUUUCUUUUUCUUUGGGUCAAGGUAGAAGAUAUUGGUUACAAUGUUUAUUGGUUCUUGCAUGGUUACCUGUUUAGCUUUCAAAAGAGCCAUAUUACUUUGUCUUCUCCUUUGGGUUUGCGUGCAGAUUCAGCUUAGUCCAAUGCGCUUAUUAUUGUUCACAUCGUUCGAUCGUGCAAAUGAAAGGCAACAAUGAUGAUAUAUGAUGAAGUGACUGAGACUGAAAACUGGUAUGAACUCUAUCUAUUUUCUUUUUGUAAAUAUGACUAGCUUGUCGACCCAGAUUUAGCUUUGUUGUGAGAGAACCAUGUUUGCAAUGACAACUUAGAGAUCAUAGUUUCUGAUGCCAUGCUUAUUUAGCUGAGAGCUUAUAAUGGUUUGUCUUGAAUGCCAACAUAGAUUUUGAGAUGACUAUGGUGUAGUAUGAUAGGAUGGUAUUCUCCUUUGAAUGUUUCAAGUGGCCUGACUUGGCGCAUGUUCAUGCAUGUAGUUGAAAAAAAUCAACAUAGCCUCUAUGAUGUUCGUGUUCAUGGUGAUUUAUAUCCUGUUCAUGCUUGCAUUCAAUGUUAGUCAAACUCAUUGCAUCUUGAUGACUGUUGUGGCUCUCUAGUUGGUCGCUUCUCAGUAUUUUGCUAGCCUUCACUUGUACUAAGCGGAAUACUGCUUGUGCAUCCACUUCCAUAAACCCAAAAGUUUUUCCAUGAGAGUCCACCAUACCUACCUAUUUGCGGUAUCUACCUGCCGUUCCAAGUAAAUUUGCAUGUGCCACUCUCUAAACCUUCAAGAAAUAAUCUGUUUUGCUUGCCCGAACCGCUCAUGUGGUGACAUGGGGCUAUUGGUAUCUUCCAUGCUAGGAGUGUUAUCCUCGACAUGUGUUUAUUCACUGUCAUUCACGAGAAAGGGGCCGGUAAUUGGAAUGCCCAGUUCCACGCUUAAAUCGAAAACAUAACUGUAAAACAAGACUCCCCCGGAUUGAUGUUAGUAUGGACGGUACCCGAGGAUUCGGCUAGCCGUGGAGUGUGAUUGAUUGGUGGUGGGGGAGUUAAAACUUUACUUUUCUGUUUGGGAACCGCCAUAGCAUGAGUAGCAUGGAAGAUAUUGAGAACUCUUGGUCAUUGCGUUGACAAUGAAAGCAUGCCACCCAAAAUUAUUAUCUCUGUUUUCAAAGCUUGAGCUCUGGCACCUCUGCAAAUCAAUACUUCCCUGUGCGAAGGGCAUGUCUAUUUAUUUUCCUAUGGAGUCAUCCUCCUCUUAUAUAAGCACCAAUUAGAGAGCACCUCUGUGAUUUUUAUGCUUUGCUUUUGAUUGAUAUUGAGUAUGACUAUGACUGGAUCUUCGUUGUUAUGAAUUACAAUGUUUAGUGAGCCCUUGAUCUUUGAAAGUUCUCUGCAUUUAUGUUUUGCGGUCUCAGAAAGAGCUAGCGAGAUACCAUCUAUUCAUAUUGCUUCAUGCUUGUUUUGAUUGAAGUGUUGGUAUUUGAAACUCAUUAUUAUUUGCUCGAUGGCUGAUUAUGCCAUUGAUAUUAGUUUACCGUGAGACCUUUGUGUCAUUUUCUUAUGUGGUUAACUUGUGAUCUUGCUGAAAUUCUGGUUAUGAGUUAGACAUAGUUGCAACAGCAAGAUCAAACAGAGUUUGUCAAAGUUUUCUUUCUCUCUCAGUUUGUCAACUGAGUUGUUUGAGGACAAGCAAGGUUUUAAUCUUGGAGGAGUUGAUACGUCUCCAUCGUAUCUACUUUUCCAAAUUCUUUUGCCCUUGUUUUGGACUCUAAUUUGCAUGAUUUGAAUGGAACUAACCUGGACUGACGCUGUUUUCAGCAGAAUUGCCUUGGUGUUAUUUUUGUGCAGAAAUCAAAGUUCUCCAAACGUCUUGAAAAUCUACGGGGAGCAGUUUUGGAAAAUAUAAAAAAUAUCUACGCCAAGUUCCACCUUAGGGGGUGGGCGAGUGGGCCACAAGCCCUGGCUCCGCCACCACCCCCCUGGUGGCGGUGGGCAGGCUUGUGGGGCCCACACGGCUCCGCCGCCCCCAACCUCAGGUCUAUAAGUUCACUUUCGUCCCAGAAAAAAUAAAAAGAGAGGUUUUCAUCGCGUUUGCGAUACGGAGGCGCCGCCACCACAUGUUCUUCAUCUGGAGGGCAGAUCUGGAGUCCGUCUGGGGCUCCGGAGAGGGGAAAUCGUCACCAUCGUCAUCAUCAACCUUCUUCCCUCUCCAAUUCCCUGAAGCUCUUCGUCGUUCGUGAGUAAUCUAUUCGUAGGCUUGCUGGGCGGUGAUGAGUAGGAUGAGAUCUAUCAUGUAAUCGAGUUAGUUUUGAUGGGGAUUGAUUCCUAGUAUCCACUGUGUUCUGAGAUUGAUGUUGCUACUAGUUUGCCAUGCUUAAUGCUUGUCACUAGGGCCCGAGUGCCAUGAUUUCAGAUCUGAAAUUAUUAUGUUGUCACCAAUAUAUGUGUGUUUCAGAUCCGAUCUUGCAAGUUGUAGUUACCUACUAUGUGUUAUGAUCUGGCAACCCCAGAGUGACAAUAACCGGAACCACUCCCGGUGAUGACCAUAGUUUGAGGAGUUCAUGUGUUCACCAAGUGCUAAUGCGUUGGUCCAGUUCUUUAUUAAAAGGAGAACCUUAAUAUCCCAUAGUUUCCUUUUGGACCCCGCUGCCACGGGAGGGAUGGACAAUAGAUGUCAUGCAAGUUCUUUUCCCUAAGCACGUAUGACGACACACAGAAUGCAUGCCUACAUCACAUUGACGAACGGGAGCUAGCCACAUAUCUCUCCGUGUUAUAGCUGUUGCAUGAUGAAUAUCAUCCAAACAAAUCACCGACCCAUUGCCUACGAGUUUGUCCUACUGCUGCUACUACUGUUGCUACUGCUGUUACUUGUCUUGCUCUGCUGCUGCUACUACUGUUGCUACUGCUGUUACUUGUCUUGCUCUGCUGCUACUGUUGCUACUACUGUCGCUAGCUACUGUUGCUACUUGCUACUGCUGUCACUACCGCUGUUCCUUGCCACUGCUGUUACUCGCUACUUUGCUGUUACUACUUUGCUUGCAGAUACUAAUCUUUCAGGUGUGGUUGAAUUUGAUAAAUUCAGCUGCUAAUACUUGAGAGCAUUCUCUCACCUCCCGUCGUGCGAAUCAACAAAUUUGGGUCGAAUACUCUACCCUCGAAAACUGCUAUGAUCCCACGCGCUGGUGGGCGUCAACAACAUUCUCCUAGUUUGGAUUGCCGGAGAGUGCUAACAACAUUGUUCUGAUGCCGUUGCAAAGGGGAAGAACAGUUGACAUCACCCCUCCCAACGGAACUGCGGAACCCAUUCGUCACUCCUGGUACUUUACCGUAAUGUCCGAAAACCUUUCGGAAGCCAAAUGGAUACUUCCUAUAUAUCAAUCUUCGUCUCCGGACCAUUCUGGAAACCCUCAUGACGUCUGGGGUCUCAUGCGGGACUCUAAAAAACAUUCGGUUACCAACAUCAAUAAUUCAACUAUACCGUAAACGUCACCGAACCUUAAGUGUGCAGACCCUGCGGGUUCGAGAACUAUGUAUACAUGACGUGAAACACUUCUCCGGUCAAUAACCAAUAGCGGGACCUGGAUGCCCAUAUUGGCUCCUACAUAUUCUAUGAAGAUCUUUAUCGUUUGAACCUCUAUUCCAAGGACUCAAUUAAUCUCAUAUGUUGUUCUCUUUGUCAAUCGGUAUGUUACUUGCCCGAGAUUCGCACGUCGGUAUCUCCAUACCUAGUUCAAUCUCGUUACCGACUGAUGACGAGAUGAUGCAUAUACUUCUCGCACCUCAUUGGUUACCCCAAGUGGAAGGUUGAGAUGUAGUCAGCAGCAAGUUUUCCCUCACACAGGGACUAUAAGUUUAUCGAACCAGGAGGACCCCUAGGAUCAGCAAGUAGGUGUAUUCCACCUUGUUGCUAGCAGAAGACGUGGACCUGUACACACACAAAUAACUUUGCUCGCAACGAGUACAGAGAGGUUGUCAAUCUCUCCGGCCUUGUACAUUGCAAAGGAUCAAAACACAAGCGAGAAGGUAAUAGUGAUUCAAUGGAAAAGUAAAUGAAAUCGGUAAAUGAUGGAGGUGUAAACAAAGAUGGUGAUAUGGACCGGAGUCACAUGAUGUUCACUAGUGAUGUCUCUCUCCCAAAAGACGACAAACAACUAUGCUUGGGUAAACAAAUCACAAUUGGGCAAUUGACAGAAUUAUGAACGCACCUCAAUGCUAAUUAUGCUACUUGAUAGUUAGAGGUUCAAUAGUAAUGGGCAGUACGCCAAGACAAGUAGACCGUUUAUUCAUCAUCAUCUACUUACUAAUCAUCCACCUUGAGAUAUCUAGCGAGAACAUCUCACCGGUAUUAAGUUGCGAGCCCCACCCAAAGUGUAAACUCAAAUCAACGGGCAACUGCAUUAACGAACUAUGCGUAAGGUAAACAAUCCUUGCAACCGUGGUCACAAGCACCAUUGUUUCCUCCCUGGUGGCAACAUCACAUCCCCUAGUCUCAUGUUUCUUUCACUCAAGCUAGACAUCGAGGGGCAUGAACCCACAAUCAUGCAUAACGCUCCCUCUUGGAGUUACAAUCUACUACUCGACCAAAACAAUAAAUAGCAACGGAGAACAUGCAUGAAUCACUAAGGAACAUAAUGUAAAAGGAUAAUCAAAUAUAUAACUCAUAACAAUCUGAACAUAAUCUCAUAAUCCAUCGGAUCCCAACAAACCGAGCAUAGCAAUAGCAAGAGAAUUACAUAGAUGCCUUGAUCAUGUAGGACAGCUCACAAGGACUAACCAUUGAAGCACAAGAUUGGAGAGAAGACAUCACAUAGCUACUGGUCAUGGACCCAUGGUCGAAAGAGGACUACUCACGGCAUGUCCGGGAAGCAUCCAUGGCGGUGGAGAAGCUCCCGGAGGUCAAUCCUCCCUCCGACAGGGUGCCGGGAAGAGGUCUCCUCAUGCUCCCGAUCUCGGAAGCGCCGCGGCGGCGGAACGAUGGAGAAAUUCGCGAUUCUAGAAGUUGUGGAAGGGUUUCCUCUCGGAGGACUAAAUAUAGACCAAAGAAGGGCACCGGAGGAGGUGGGGCCCACCCAGGCGGCCUCGUGGAGCGAUCAAGGGGUAGGCUGCGCCAGCAGGUCGCCUGGGCGGCCCCUGGCUCCCCUCUGGCCCAUCUUCGAUGAUGUGGAAGCUUUUGUUACGCUGAUUUUUUAAUAUAUUUUCCUGGAAUUUUUCGGGCUUCGGAAAAUUGGGUAAAAGCCCCUACAAAAUAGACAUCAACAGACAUAAACUGGUACUGGGUGCACUGAGUUAGUAGGUUAGUCCAAAUAUGUGUAAAAUGAUAUAAAAGUGUAGAAAAACAUAUAACAAUGUCACCCAAAAGAUCAUGGAACAAGCAGAAAUUAUAGAUACAUUUGGGACGUAUCACCGACAAGUCUCUUUACUCGUUCCGUAAUACAAGAUCCCGUGACUAACUCCUUAGUCAUAUUUCUUGCAAGGCUUGUUGUGAUGUUGUAUUACCGAGUGGUCCCCGAGGUACCUCUCCGUCACACGGAGUGACAAAUCCCAGUCUUGACCCAUGCCAACCCAACAGACACCUUCGGAGAUACGUGUAGAGCACCUUUAUAGUCACCCAGUUAUGUUGCGAGGUUUGAUACACACAAGGUAUUCCUUCGGUGUUCGGGAGUUGCAUGAUAUCAUGGUCAUAGGAACAAAUACAUUGACAUGCAGAAGAUAGUAGCAAUAAACUGACAAAAUCAUAUGCUACGUUCACAGUUUGGGUCUUGUCCAUCACAUCAUUCUACUAAUGAUGUGAUCCCAUUAUCAAGUGAAAACACUUGUCUAUGGUCAGGAAAGCUUGACCAUCUUUGAUCCACGAGCUAGUCAACUAGAGGCUCGCUAGGGACCGUUUGUUGUCUAUGUAUCCGCACAUGUAUUUGAGUUUCCAAUCAAUACAAUUCUACGACGGAUAAUAAACGAUUAUCAUGAACAAGGAAACAUAAUAAUAACCAAUUUAUUAUUGCCUCUAGGGCAUAUUUCCAACAGUCUCACACUUGCACUAGAGUCAAUAAUCUAGUUCACAUCAUUAUGUGAUUGUAAUGAAUGUAACAACCAUACAGUUCUGGGCUUCGAUCAUGUCUUGCUUGUGAGAGAGUUUUCCAGUCAAUGGGUCUGAACCUUUCAGAUUCGUGUGUGCUUUACAAACCUCUAUCUCAUCCUAUAGAUGCUGCUACCACGCGCCAUUUGGAACUAUUCCAAAUGACAGCUCCACUAUACGAAUCUGGUUUACUACUCAGAGUUAUCCGGUUUAGUGUCAAUGCUUGCAUCGACGUAACCCUUUACGAUGAACUCUUUUAUCACCUCCAUAAUCGAUAAAAAAAUCCUUAGUCCACUAGUUACUAAGGAUAACUUUUGACCGUUGUCCAGUAAUCCAUUCUUGGAUCACUUUUGUACGCCCUUGAUAGAUUCAUGGCAAGGCACACAUCAGGUGCGGUACACAACACAGCAUACUAUAGAGCCUACAGCUAAUGCAUACGGGACGACCUUCGUCCUUUCUCUUUCUUUUUCGUGGUCGGGUUUUGAGUCUCACUCAAUACUCACACCUUAUAACACAGCCAAGAACUCGUUCUUUAAGUGAUCUAUUUUGAACUCCUUCAAAAUCUUGUCACGGUAUGUAUUCAUUUUAAAGUUCUACUAAGCGUUUUGAUCUAUCUCUAUAGAUCUUGAUGCUCAAUGUUCAAGUAGCUCAAUGCAGGUUUUCCUUUGAAAAACUCCUUUCAAACAACCCUUUCUGCUUUUCGGAAAUUCUACAUUAUUUCUGAUCAACAAAAUGUUAACCACAUAUACUUAUGAGAAAUUAUAUAGUGCUCCCACUCACUUCCAUGGAAAUACAAGUUUCUCAUAAACUUUGUAUAUCCAAAAGCUUUGUUCAUCUCAUCAAAGCGCAUAUUCCAACUCCGAGAUGCUUACUCCAGUCCUUAGAAGGAUUGCCCGAGCUUGCAUACUUGUUAGCAUCCUUUAGGAUUGACAAAACCUUCUGGUUAUAUCACAUAAAACCUUUCCUCAAGGAAACCGUCGUGGAAACAAUGUUUUGAUAUCCUAUCUGCAAGAUUUCAUAAAUAAUGCAGCAACUUCUAACAUAAUUCUAGCACACUUUUAGCAUCCCUACGAGCGAGAAAGUCUCAUCAUAGUCAACUCUUUUAACUUGUCGGGAACAUCUUUGCGACAAGUCGAUCUUUUUUAAUGGUGACUUUUCACCAUCAUCUUUUGUCUUCCUUUUAAAGAUCCAUCCCUACUUAACAGUCUUACGACCAUCAAGUAGUUCUUCCAAAGUCCACACUUUGUUUUCAUUCAUGGAUCCUAUCUCGGAUUUCAUGGCCUCCAACCAUUCAUCACAAUCCAGGCCCACCAUCGCUUUUCCAAAGCUCGUAGGUUCAUUGUUGUCCAGCAACAUGACCUCCAAGACAGGAUUACCGUAUCACUCUGGAGCAGUACGUUUCCUUGUCAACCUACGAGGUUUGGUAGUAACUUGAUCUGAAGCUUCAUGAUCACCAUCAUCAGUUUCGACUUCAACUAGUGUAGGCACCAUAGGAACAUCUUCCUCCGCCCUGCUACUCAUUGGUUGAAUUGACGGUUCUAUAACCUCAUCAAGUUUCCACCAUCCUCCCACUCAAUUCUUUUGAGAGAAACUUUUCUCGAGAAAGGACCCGUUUCUAUAAACAAACAAUUUGCUUUUGGAUCUGAGAUAGGAGGUAUUCCCAACUGUUUUGGGUAUCCUAUGAAGAUGCAUUUAUCCACUUUGGGUUUGAGCUUAUCAGGAUGAAACUUUUUCAUAUAAGCGUCGCAACCCCAAACUUUUAAGAAACGAUAGCUUAGGUUUCUCCAAACCAUAGUUCAUAUGGUGUCAUCUCAACGGAAUUACGUGGUGCCCUAUUUAAAGUGAAUGCGGUUGUCUCUAAUGCCUAACCCAAAGAGGAUAGUGGUAAUCCGGUAAGAGACAUCAUGGUAUGCACCACAUACAAUAGGGCGCGGCUAUGACAUUCGGACACACCAUCACACUAUGGUGUUCCAGGUGGCAUUGGUUGUGAAACAAUUUCCACAUUGUCUUAAAUGUGUACCAAACUCGCAACUUAGAUUAUCAUCUCUACGAUCAUAUCGUAGACAUUUCAUCCUCCUGCCAUGACGAUCUUCAACUUCACUCCAAAAUUACUUGAACCUUUCAAUAAUUCAUACUUUUGUUUCAUCACGCAAAUAUACCAGUAUCUACUCAAAUCAUCCGUGAAGUAAGAACAUAACGAUACACACUGCGUGCCUCGGUACUUAUUGGACUACAUACAUCAAAAUGUAUUAUUUCGAACAAGUCACUUGCUCGUUCUGUAUUACUGAAAACAAGGCCUUCAGUCAUCUUGACCAUGUGGCAUGAUUUGCAUGUCUCAAGUGAUUCAAAAUCAAGUGGGUCUAAAAAAUCCAUCUCCAUGGAGUUUCUUCAUGCGUUUAUACCAAUAGGCAUGGUUCGCAUGUCUCAAACGAUUCAAAAAAUGAGUGAGUCAAAGGUCCAUCAACAUGGAGCUUCUUCAUGCGUUUUAUACCAAUAUGACUCAAGCGGCGGUGCCACAAGUAAGUGGUACUAUCAUUACUACUUUGCAUCUUUUGGCAUCAAUAUUAUGAACAUGUGUAUCACUACGAUCGAGAUUCAAUAAACCAUUCAUAUUAGGUGCAUGACCAUUGAAGGUAUUAUUCAAGUAAAUAGAGCAACCAUUAUUCUCUUUAAAUGAAUAAUCGUAUUGCAAUAAACAUGAUCCAAUCAUGUUCACGCUCAACGCAAACACCCGUCUAUAUUUAGGUUUAACACUAAUCCCGAAGGUAGAGGGAGCGUGCGAUGUUGAUCACAUCAACCUUGGAAUUACUUCCAACAUACAUCAUCACCUCACCCUUGCUAGCAUAUGUUUAAUCCGUAGCUAUAACUUCGAGUUACUAACAAUUAGCAACUGAACAGGUAUCUAAUACCCCGGUGCUACUAGGAGUACUAGUAAGGUGGACAUCAAUAUCAUGCAUAUCCAAUAUACUUUUAUCGACUUUGCCAGUCUUCUCAUCUACCAAGUAUCUAGGGUAGUUCUGCUUCAGUGAGCGUUCCUCUCAUAACAGAAGCACUUAGUCUUGGGUUUGGAUUCAACCUUGGGUUUCUUUACUAGAGUGGCAACUGGUUUUCCAUUUCAUGAAGUGUCCCUUCUAACCCUUGCCCUUCUAGAAACUAGUGGCACUUUGCAGUAGGUAUGGCUUACCAUCCACAAUCUUCAAAACUUGGCGCACUUCUUCUUUUAAGAAGCGCCUCUCCACCGGCUCCGAUUUAAACGUAGGGGAUAUCUUGGAGAGCUCGAAUGCUUUCUCCUUGAACUUUGUUCUAAGGCCUCGUUUUUAGCACUCGUAUCCUGCAGCUCUUGCUGGACCUCGACCGCUCUAGCCUUGUGCCCGUUGCUCUCGAUCUUUAGCAAGUUCAGGUCGGUGGAGGUUUUCUCUGCCACCAUCCUAUGAGCAACGACCUCUUGCUUGGCCUUCUCCAAUUUGGCCCGGAGUUUCUCCAACUCCAGACCCAUGGCUGCUGACAUAAUUGGAAUCACGAUGUCAAAAAGCCAUAUAGUACUAAAUUAUUUAAGUACAACAAGAGUCUUAGUGACAUGCAUUAAGUUUACCUUGCUUCUCAUCUAACCGACUAUUAAGUCGGCUAAUUUCCUCAUCGAAAACCUAGAGUUUUCGGUUCAGCUAGGCUCGUUCAAGGGCAUUAGUAGCCAUAGCCGAGGUCGAGGCCUACAAAAACCAUAUUUUAUAAGCAUCCACGUCAAACGGGAUCGGGUCAUUUGGCCGAAGUACCCCAAUGAGUUGUCAUAGCUCAUGGGUCCCGGAACUGAUUUUGCUCCAAAAUAACAAGUGUUUUUGAGCCACGGGCAAGCUUCUUAACUCACUCAUAGCUUGACGGGUGAUGACGAGAUGAUGUAUAUACUUCUCGCACCUCGUUGGUUACCCCAAGUGGAAGGUUGAGAUGUAGUCAGCAGCAAGUUUUCCCUCACAUGGAAACUGUAAGGCUUAUCGAACCAGUAGGAGUCCUAGGAUCAACAAGUAGGUGUCUUCCACCCUGGCGCUAGCAGAAGACGUGGACCUGCACACACACAAAUAACUUUUCUCCCAACGAGUACAAAGAAGUUGUCAAUCUCUCCGGCCUUGUAGUUUGCAAUGGAUCAAACACACAAGUGGGAAAAGUAAUAGUGAGUGCAACCAAAAAGUAAAUGAAAACGAUAAAUGAUGGAGGUGUAAGCAAUGAUGGUGAUAUGGAUCGGAGUCACAUGAUGUUUACUAGUGAUGUCUCUCUCCCAAAAGACGAUAAACAACUAUGCUUGGGUAAACAAAUCAUAGUUGGGCAAUUGACAGAAUUAUGAACGCACUGCAAUGCUAAUUAUGCUACUUUAUAGUUAGAGGCUCAAUAGUAAUGGGCACUACGCCAAGACAAGUAGAUCGUUUAUUCAUCAACAUCUACUUACUAAUCAUCCACCUUGAGAUAUCUAUCCAGAACAUGUCGCCGGUAUUAAGUUGCGAGCCCCACCCAAAGUGUAAACUCAAAGCAACGGACAACUGCAUUAACGAACUAUGCGUAAGGUAAACAAUCCUUGCAACCGUGGUCACAAGCACUGUUGUUUUCUCCCUGGUGGCAACAACACAUCCCCUAGUCUCAUGUUUCUGUCACUCAAGCUAGACAUCGAGGGGCAUGAACCCACAAUCAUGCAUAACGCUCCCUCUUGGAGUUACAAUCUACUACUCGGCCAAGGCAAUAAAUUGCAACGGAGAACAUGCAUGAAUCACCAAGGAACAUAAUACAAAAGGAUAAUCAAAUAUAUAACUCAUAACAAUCUGAACAUAAUCUCAUAAUCCAUCGGAUCCCAACAAACGAAGCAUAGAAAUAGCAAGAGAAUUACAUAGAUGCCUUGAUCAUGUAGGGCACCUCACAAGGACUAACCAUUGAAGCACAAGAUUGAAGAGAAGACAUCACAUAGCUACUGGUCAUGGACCCAUGGUCAAAGGAGGACUACUCGCGGCACGUCCGGGAAGCGUCCAUGGCGGUGGAGAAGCUCCCGAAGGUCAAUCCUCCCUCCGCCAGGGUGCCGGGAAGAGGUCUCCUAACGCUCCCUGAAAGGACGUGGAUGUCGCCUAGAGGGGGGGGGGUGAAUAGGCGCUUUAAAAUAAUUACGGUUUAUGCUUGAACAAAUGCGGAAUAAAACUAACGUUUAAUUUGUCAAGCACAAAACCUACAACAACUAGGCUCACCUAUGUGCACCAACAACUUAUGCUAAGCAAGAUAAACAACUAAGUGAUAGCAACAUAUAUGACAAUAAACAAUAUGGCUAUCACAAAGUAAAGUGCAUAAGUAAAGGGUUCGGGUAAGAGAUAACCGAGGCACGCGGAGACGAUGAUGUAUCCCGAAGUUCACACCCUUGCGGAUGCUAAUCUCCGUUGGAGCGGUGUGGAGGCACAAUGCUCCCCAAGAUGCCAUUAAGGCCACUGUAAUAUCCUCAUGCCCUCUCACAAUGCAAGAUGUCGUGAUUCCACUAAGGGACCCUUGAGGGCGGUCACCGAACCCGUACAAAUGGCAACCCUUGGGGGCGGUUACCGGUACCCGUACAAAUUGCUCAGGGCAAUUUCCACAACCUAAUUGGAGACCUCGACGCUUGCCCGUAGAUUUACACCACAAUGAUCGAGCUCGAAGACACCACCAAGCUUCUAGGAUGCCAAAGCAUCCACGAAGAACAAUCUCUAGGGUACUAAGUACCAAAAGGUAAUAUGGCUUCUCAAACUUCACUUCCACGUAUCACCGUGGAGAACUCAAACCAAUGCAACUCAUGCAAUGGAAAGAAUACACAAAGUGGUCAAGUCCCUCACACUAAAAUCCCUCCACAACAACAAAAGCUAUGGAGAAAUAUGAGAGGAAGAACAAGGAGCUCACAAAGAACUCCCAGAUCUAGAUCCAAGGAGUUCCCCUCACAUAGAGGAGAAAGUGAUUGGUGGGGAUGUGGAUCUAGAUAUCCUCUCUCUUUUCCCUAAAGAACUAGCAAGAAUGGUUGGAGGGAUUGAGAGUUAACAAGCUCUAAGAAAGUCAACAAUGGGGGAAGAACACGAGCUCAACAGAUAAAAUUAGUCCAAGGGGGACGAAGACCCCCUUUAUAUAGUGGGGGAAGAAAUCAGACUGUUAACCCCACUUACAGCCCGAGCACAGCGGUACUACCGCUAGACCCUGGCGGUACUACUGCUAGACCCUGGUGGUACUACCUCUAGAGAAAUUCUUUGCAAAAAGUCCGACGAAGAACAACCGUUCAGAGAGAGGUACUACCGUCCCGAAGCGGUACUACUGCCCACCCGGAGCGGUACUACCGCUCCUAGAGUGGUAGUAAAAAAAUUACUACCGCUCCAGGGACGCUACUACCGCUACAAGAGCGGUACUACCGCUGGCAUUAGGAGCGGUACUACCGCUCGAUACUGAAUCUGCUCUAACUUUCGCAUAUGGACUCCGAUUUCAACGAAACCAAGUUUGUUGGAAAGAUAACGACAUGGGCUAACACAAUAUUGAUAGAAAUAUCAAUAAGAAGCAAGUGAGAAAAGGCCCAUAAUAAAAUGGUGAGAACCCUUCUUCAAAUAAGGCCGGUAAAAAAUCCCAACAUCGAAAACAUCAUAGAAGAUGCAUAUGGACUCCGUUUUCGAUGAACUCGAGUUUGUCAUGAAGAUGACCAUAAGAUCUAAAACUCACAAAUAGAAACACCAAACAAGAACCAAGAAGUAUGAUGCAAGGAUGCAAAUGGUUUGAGCUCUCAACUAACGAUAUGAGCAAGCUACUCACUUGAGACCCCCCCUUGACAGUACGACAAUCUAUCCUAAAAUAGAAAACCUAUCAAGGGAAACCUAUUCCUUGCACCUCGUCCUCUUGAGCUAGAUGAUGAUGACCUUGGCUUCCUCAAGAUAGACCACCUUUCUUGAUUGCGUUGGCUUGAUGAAUACUAGUUGAUUGCUCCCUCAUACUCACUAUUGGUGAGCCACUCUUGAGCAUAUCUUCACAAGUCCAUUGCCACCACAAUGGACGACAAGCUUCAAGCAUGAUAUAUUCGUGCUGAUCCACUUGAACUUGUACACCGCAAUCUUGAUGAUGAUCACCACUUGACGUCAUCCUUCAUGGGUUGUAUGAGAUCUUCCUUUUGACGCAAGCCCAUGGAAACACACCUAACCCCCACAUAGAACUCUCACGAAGACCAUGGGUUAGUACACAAACACGUAAUGGACAAUGCUUACCAUACCAUGUGAUCACUUGAUCCCUCUCGGUACAUCUUGUACGCUUUGUGUGUUGAUCAUCUUGAUUUACUUUUUGUCUCACGAUCUUGAUCAACCUUGUGUCUCUAUGACCAUUCUUUGGAUAAUACCUUGAAUACCUCCUUGGUCAUCAUAUAAACUCCUUCAACCCAACAGAUGGACUUCAAGUAGUGGCUAUGGACAGAUCCUAUAAAUAUAACUUAAGGCAACCAUUAGUCCAUAGGAAUUGUCAUCAAUUACCAAAACCACAUAUGGAGAAAUAUGCUCUAACAAUCUUCCCCAUUUUUGUAAUUGAUGACAACCACUUAAAGAGAGUUUAUAUAAGGAAAUAAGCAUAACCAAGCACACACAUGCAAAGCAGUAAUGCAUGCGUACAAGAUGUAAAUGCUUAUGCAAUAAAAGCAAAACCCUCUAAGAAUAACCAAACUAAACUCUCUAAACUUCUCUCCCAUUGGCAUCGAUUGCCAAAAUGGACAAAAAGUUUAGAAAGCCAAUAUAGUAGGUGGUCCUCCAAAAAGUGUGUACUUCUCAACAAAUGAGUGCAGAGAAAUACACAUAUACAAUGAUAAGAAGUUGGAGGAAAAUGAACUAUAUUGAGGACCCAAAGAUUGAAAAAAAGAUCGUAUGCAACAAAGACAUACAAAAAUAGAGGCUAGCAAUCAAAAGAUACCACAUGGAACAAACAAUCAUAUGGUCCUUCGAACCACAUGAAUAAAAGAUAUUAUGAUAAAGGGAACGGAGUGUUUUAUCAAAACUAGAGAAGCUCUCCAUGAUUUGUGCACUAAUAAGAGAUUUUUGUAUUUGAUACAAGUGCACAAAAUAGGAUCAUUGCUCCCCCAAAAUUUAUAAAAACACACAACGAGUGCAAGAAGAUAGAUGAGAUAAUAAGCAUAUCACUUUGCACAAAACAAAUGGUUGAGCAACAUGUAAAAAGGUGCAACUUAAGAAUAGGCUCAACCAAAAUAAUGUGUGUGAGUCAUGGCAAAGCACUUGAGAAGACUAAGAUAAGGAUGAGCAUUACUCAUCAACAUAGUCUUGAUGAAAUGAGAAACAAAGUGCAAGACAUAUCAUUCCCACACACACAUACUAGAAAAUGGGUUCACAAGCUUACUAAUACACAAAAAUAAGAACCAACGCUUGUGAGAAACUAUGGUGAAGAUAGGAAAUAAGAACCUUGUCAAGAGGAGGGAUACCAAUCGAAAUGGCAACACCCUCAUCAAGACAAGCAUGAGGAAAAAUAAUCUUCACGGGCAAAGAGUGCAUCAAGAUGUAGGAAAAUAAGAUAUGCACUCAAGACAAAUCCUUUCACGGAGCCACCAAAAAUGAAAAAAGGAAAUGCAAUGGUGGGCGUGAAAGAAAAGAGGAUAUCAAUUAGAGAUGUAACUUCUCUCAUGUGUAAAAGAUUCUAAGUAGAAGACAAUUAUGAUGAUAUAUAUCCACAAAGAAGGUUGUACACACGAAAUGGUUACAAGAAGAAACAAACAAGAUAUCCAAAAGGAAGUCAUAAAUAUAUCAAUAAGAUCUUUGCUUGAAAGCAUAUUACAUGGCCUAAUAUUUUCUUAUUGUGCAAUAUGAACUUCCAACAUACGAAUAUCAAAGACAUCCCAAUUAGCAAUAAGACAUCAUCGUUCGGAUGCUUUGAGAAAGGAAACAAGUACCACAAGAACGAAUCAAGAGAUUCAUGCCAUGAUGCAACCUGGAGAGAGAGAGACAGAACCACGAGAGGAGGGUAUAACCCCUCGUGGUCUUGACGGCGUGGUAGUACCAUGGAUAUCCAUGGCAGUACCGCUCAUCUAAGAAAAGACAGGUUUGGUUCUUUGCAAGGAAUGAAUGCAUGAAGUAGAUACUUGUUACCGAGACAACAUUGGAUUGAUGUAGUAGAUAGUUGUUCAUUGAUCAUCCUAACUUGGCUCCAAUAAGCACGUGGUCUCACCACCUUCCUUGUAGGUGAGCCGAGCAUCCAAUGCAUCUGCAAUUGUUCCUAGAAAAACAAUACAAACAAAAUGGUGCCCAAACUCAUUGGGACCAAAGAGUUAUAAAACCAACAAUACAUAGGACAAACUCCACUUAAAUAUGUGCAUAUAGAUAUGAAAUUGAAUUUCAUUCACGCUUUAGCCAAUUGAUGACAAGGUGGAGUUUCCUCUAUAUAUCGGGUCAAGGAAAGAAAGCAAGAAAAAGAAGAUAUAUAUAAUAAAUAUGCAUGCUCAAGGCUUUCAAGAAUCAACUCAACACAAAGUUGAUAAGACACCAAAAGACAAUGUAUCAAGUGAUAAUAAGAUACCAAACAAAAAAACGAUCACUUGAAGGAUAUCAAUUAAAAGAUACCUCAAGGAAUGAGAUAUCCAUUGACACAUGCCAAAAAAAGUAAACAAGAUACCAAUUGAAGGAAAACAAACAUGAGGUAUCUAGUUUCCAAAAUAGAGCUAGGUUCCAACAAACCGAACCCUCGACAAAUUUUGAUGAUGGCACAAAGCAUCAUAAAGAGCAAAACUUGCCUACCAUCAACACACACUUGAUGGGGAUCAAAAGAUUUUAUGAUGGGCGAGUAAAGAGAGUGUUCUAAAGAAAAUAGGAUAGCUCCCCCAAGAGAUGUGCAAUAUAUAGAAUUUGCAUUUAAAUACAAAAUGCACAAGAUGGGAUCAUCACUUUCUCUAUAUCAAUAAAAACACUAGAAAUGUUAAAAUAGAUCCACAAGAGGCAAGGAAGACAAAUAAAACACAAAAUCCAAUGUAAAGACGAUUAGCAAUUCCUACCACAUGAUGGGAAUACCAAUUGUCAAGGACAAGAAGUAUUUUGGAAAUAAUACUCAUUGGUAGAUCGCAAGUAUAUCCAACAUCAUCUUUACCCAUAAAACACAAGCAAAUGACACUUGUAGAGCUAACAUGCCACCUAGGAACAAGAUAAUUUACAAUAUCAACACUAAGUGGCAAUACCUCAAAUGUACACAUUUUGUAGGAUUGUAAUAUGCACAUGGCAUAUUACUCCCACAUAAUGUGAUAACCCAAUAAUAUUAACAAGUGGCAAAUUAAAACCAACAAGAGAUAAUUAAUGGACCAUAUAGAAUUGGAAUUUCUCAUGAGUAAGACAUUCCACAUAGAAACUAGGUAAUCUUGAAAUAUCAAUACUAAGUGGUAUUCCCCAUGUAUACACAUUUAUAGGAUUGUGAGGUGUGCAAAGCACAUCACUCCCCCACAAUGGGAUAAUCCAUUAAUCUCUCACAAGAGCCAAGAAAGGUACAAACAAGAUGCAAUAAGGCUCAAUACAAGACUCACAUGUACAUGAUGUGCAAACCAACAUACACAUACUCGAUUACUCAAGAUAAGCAAGUUGGAAGCACAAAAUAUACAAACACAUGCAAGGUACAAAACCACAACAUGCAAAGGGGCAAGUAACUAACAAUGUAAACAGUUUAAGUACAAGUUACCGUAAGGAGGCACAUUGGAUAUAUGAUAGAAACUCGAUAAUCCAAAUGACUUGGCUUGAGAUAAUAUGAAUGAUGAAGACCCCUUAAUUCUUCAUUAUGUAUCAAAGUCUCCAAUGUCCUCCACAAUCACCUAUUGAUCAAGUUUGAGCUUGUUGGUCCCCAACCACGUUGGGUCCUAAGAGGUUAGUCGUAAUAGGCUUGACAACCCAAAUGGUACUUUUCUUGACACCACUUUGAGUACCAACAAACUUGGUAAACACAUUGCCAACCUUAUCCUUCCCAAGAGAAUAGAUAUCAUCAUCAAUAUUGAUUGGGUUGGAUAAAUUACCUCUCGUGCAAGAAGAAGCGAAGUGACCCUUCUCACGACAUAAGUAGCAACAUCUACCCUUUAAUUUAUUCCCUAUUGAUUUCUCAACAUGAGGAGUGUUGGCUUGGGUCUUCUUGGGAAGAGGCCUUUCUUCAACUUGUAGUUGAGUAUGUGAUUGAACUUGUGGUCGCUUCCCUUGUUGCUUGUGACUUUGGGACUUCUUCUUUAGUGAGCAAGAUCUAACAUGGUGCCCUUCAAUUUUGCACUUGAAGCAAAUAAUCUUGGCCGAAUUCUUGACUUGUUCUUGGCCCUUCUUCUUUGAGUGUUUGGACUUCUUCUUCUUGUUGGAGUUGAAUCCAAGUCCAUCUUUGUCAUUCGGGGAUUUUUGCCCACACAAGACAUUGUUGAGUGUGGACAUCCCUUCAUGACUCUUUUCCAAGUCUUUCUUCAAAGAAGUGACUUGGGCCUUGAGCUCUUCGAUUUCCUCUACAUGGUUAGUAUCAACACAAGUACUAGAGGAAGUAUAAGGUUCACUGUUAGAGCAACAGGGCAAGGAAAGUAAUUCAUCACAAGAGGUAGCAACAUUAUGAGUAGAAGAAUUACGAGGACUAGCACAUGGCAAUAUAGCAUUCUGACUAGAAGUAGUGACAUUGUCCACAUGAGGCUCACUUGAUGUUACCUUGGUAGUAAUAGCCUCACAAACUAAUUUUAGCACAUUAUGGGAUGCUAGAAGAUCAUCAUGAGAGCUUGUGAGCAUUACAUGCCAUUCUUCCAAUUUCCCAUAAUUGCUAGAUAGCAACUUAAGUUGAGCCCUUAGCUCAACAUUCUCCUUUAAAAUGGAUGCUUCACAAGAAGUAGAGUUAGUAGCACAAGCAUCAUCAUUAGCAAUAAGAGGAGAAGGCACCUUGGCAAGCUCUUUAGCAUAUGAAGCUUCAAGUUGAGCAUGAGACUGUAACGACUAAGAUGCGGCCCUUUCCUAUUUUGGGGGUGAUGCCCCAAAAGGGAAAGAGGCGCAUCUAAUAGUUUCGCAAGCGAGAUAAUCAUAGAAAUACAUAAUCGAAGAAUAACAAAUAGGGCAUACAUUUGCCAUCUGACAUAGAAUAUAUAAGGUUUACAUCCACACAAUUAUUCGGACAAGUUAGUCCCGCUACGGACAACAUGAAACAAGGAAAAGACUAUGAUAUCCCGCAUGCUGGCCCAUGAUAACGACCACGGCCUCAGUCCUCUGGAUAGUUCACGUACAGUCAGUCGUUAUCCUCAUCGUACUGCCACGCCAGCUGCAUGCCGUCAGGAUCUCCCGCGUCGGGCGUACCUGUACCUGUUGGGGUGUUGUAGUAAACUGCGAGCCAUGGGGACUCAACAAUCGGAUGACCUUGGUACCGAAACUAGUCAAGUUAUUAGGUGAGGAAGGUUCAAUGUAUAGGUUGCAGCAUCCUAAGCCUAUAUGGUGGCUAACUUACGAAGAUCAGAGUUAUUUAUAUGCUGGCCUACGCAAGCGGUCGAAGACUAGGUGAUCACUAAGUGAUCCUGCACACCUACUUACGUCAAACAUAACCCCACCGUGUUCCCGAUCGAAGAGAGGUCUUCGAAGGAGACAGUCACGGUCACGCACAUAGUUGGCAGUUUUAUUAGAGUUAAUUCAAGUUAUCAAGAACCGGAUGUUAACAAAUUAUCCAUGUUUGCCACAUAACCGCGGGAACGGCUUUCCGAAAGAUUAAACCCUGCAGGGGUGCUCCAACUAGUCCAUCACAAACUGCCACGGGCCGCAAAGUGAUCUUCUAUCACGAAUCUCGUGAUCUCGUCGGAUUCCUUAGAGGAAAACCUCAACUUUGAGGAGACCCAAAGUUUCACCGGGAUUCCUAUACGCAAGAUAUAUCGCUAAGGUAAGACAAACCUAGCAGGACCUCCCGUCGUGUCGACGACCCCGAUAAGAGCCGCGUAUCUUAGUCUCAGGACACGACGGAUGAGCUAGACGUCGGGUUGGCUAAACCACUCGGUGACCAGGGGGGCCCCGGACAUCGCUCAGGUGGGACCAACACUCAUGAGGAGCACUGGCCCGGGUUUUUGAUUAAAUCCUCGGGGUAGCUAUUCCCUAUGCAAAUUAUUAUUAGGUGAUUAGCAAAUUAAAACUAAUGUUGGGUCCUGCCGGACAAGCCUUAACACUCAAGGGGGUCCUCAAAACAACCCCGAACGUGUUAAGAGCGAACAGUUAUGGAAUCAAACACCGGUAGCCGAAACUAAGGCGGCAAUAACGGAACAAAUCACCCGGCAAAAGGCUAGGCCUUCCGUCAUUUACCAAGUAUAUAGGUGCAUUAAUUAAAUAGCAGUUUAAUCAUAAUGAUAUCAAAAUACUCAUGUUAUCACAUGAGACAGCUGGCACCUGCAACUAGCAAAGCUAAUCAUUAGAAGUUGAGCAAGCCUAGUUAGCCAAACAACAUUAGCUAGGAGGGGAAGGUGUUUGGGUUUCAUGGAAAUGGCAUGUGGCGUUUUUAUCAAGUGGUAGACAGCGAGCAUAUAUCGAAGGAAACGUGAUUCUAAGCAUAACAAAGCUAUAUACGGUAUCAAGGUCACGAUCAUCUUGCCUGUGAUGUCUUCAGCUUGGAACUGCUCUUGAUCGUCCUGCACGUACUCUCAGGAAUCCACAUACUCGCUCUUUGAUCCCGAUGUUACCCAAGAUAAAUAUAACAGCCAAUGAACACCAACACAACAUGAUGCAACAAACCAUAUGAUGCAUGAGAUGAGAAGGAAGCAUGCAUCACUAUUCUAGUCUCUUACAUAUGCAUGAGAUGAGAAGAUAAACUUCUGGAUAGAACUUCACACUAAGCUAUCUUGACAUGCAUGGGAAUGGCAUGAACAUGUGCAUCACGAUAAAACGAUGCGAAAACAUAUAUAGAACGUAGAGAACGGAGCUACGGAUCAACCGGAAACUACGAAACAAGAUAUGGAGUCCUACGGUUCAAAUCCACCACAAGCACACUCCAAUGGCACUCUUCUGGUGUUCCUAGGUUGACACAUGAACAAACAAACAAAUAUAAGUGGGGUGGUG